rnacentral:lncRNA from 1 species
AUUCUAUUAGGGCAAACACUACUCAAGUUUGGAAUUAGUGUUAUUUGUUAUCUAAACUUCCCAUAGCACUUUUUGGAACUGAAAAUUUAAAACAUUGGUCUAAAAUGAUCGUUUGACCCCUAGUUUGUUAACAUUUAGAUGAUUAGGUGUUGACUGGAUUGUUAAUUUGUCCAAAUGUGUUGAUUUAGUAAUAUUUUUGAGUGAUUUUUCUCUCUUCUCCCUUUCUUCCUAACUUCAACAAACCUUGUGGCCGCAUGCCUUCUUUGAAAGACAUCGCUGCUAUCUUUGAACGAUUGUUAGGUGCCUUCAUUGUUCAUUUGUCUUGAACUAGAACAGUAGUUCUUGUUUGUUCUAGAUUUGUUUGGAAUGGAGGAGGAUCUGCCUAUAACUGGACCAAAGGUGAUCCUCUACUUCAUUUUACACUAAAAUACUGAAUUCAGAUUAUAUGAACCUAAAUUUUCCAUGAUGGUUAAUAUCAAGAGUAAAGAAAAUUUGUUUCUAGACUUUGUUUUGAAACACUCUACAACAUAGCUUCAUUCAAAAACUAGAUGGCUAUUGUGAUACAGCAUAGUUGACUUUAUUAAACCAACAAACUAAAGUGCCCUAGGUGUGGAUUUAGAUAAGGCUCAGCCCUUCUGCUCUUUAUUUAUUUAUAUACAGAAGCAACCUAGAAAAGAAAUGUUGAAAUGACUUGAAAAACUAAAACUUGCAUGAUGGUGAAUAUGAAGUCCGAAGUUGAGAAUUGUACUUUAGGUUGUUGGUAUUUGUAACUUCUCAAGAAUGAAUGAAGCUUCAUCAAAGUAGUUCAAACUAUUGUUCCGUUGAUUGAUUGAGAUUUCCUUUAAAUGAAACUUGAGAUGCAUUAUCCUAAGUCUGAUACAUUUAAUGCAACUCUUCCUUGAAGCUUUACUUCCAUCAUUCUUGAAGUAUUUUUUAGUUGAGUUCACCAAAGAUUGAAGAUGAGUAUCACUGCUUAUCGAAUUUUCUAAGCCCUUAAUCCUAGAUUUUCAUCAUCAAUACUAUUCCAAUAGGGAAACUGCAGCCUAAAAUCUGUUUUCUCAUAUCAUUUUGGUUUAAAAUGGGCUCUUGGGCUUCGAAUAUCUUUCUUAUUCAUUCCCCCCCUCCCCCACGAAAAAGAAUAAAGAGAUAAAUACAAUUAGGUUAAGUAGAUAAGACACUUGGGUCGAUUAAUUUGAUCAUCAUUUGCCACUUUAUUAAAGUCCAAAGAAAAGAAAAAUAGAAAACAAACAAUGACAAAAACCUACCAAACACAAAAAUAAAUUAAAACAGACAUGAUUAGAAAGAACCCACCAAGAAAAACUCUUUUGGAUCUUUAAGAGAGGCCCUAGACUAGGUGAAACAACAAAGAAAAACCUUAGAUUGUUUAGUCAAAGUAAUCACUCGAAAAUGACUUAAAAUGUAACGUGUUUGCCAAAUAUGCAAAUUUCAACAUUUCAAACCUUGUGAUAAUUUGUUUUUGCAAGGAGAAAAUUAUUCAAAUUAAACCAAUUAUAUUCUAUUUCCAUCAAACUAAUUUGAUCACUUCCCAAGGAAUGGGUUUCAAUUUAAUUAAUGAACCAUUCUUACAAUAAAUUUUUUAAAGAAAAUAAAGCCCUAUCCCAAGCAAUCAGGUUGUUGACAGUAUACUAUUUUAGAAGAAUAUAUAUAGAUUGGUUAUCAAACAUACUCGCUCAAAAGUUAAUAUAUGGAAUUAAAAAAGAAGAAGCUAUUGAUGAAAUUACGAAGAACAAUGAAUUAAACACUUUUAAAUUUUAUAUAAUUAACAACGGAAUAAAUCCUUAAUUAAACCAUAGCUAAGAUGCUUUGAAGUAUAGACUUUAUUCUCAUAAACUUUAAUUUGUUGGAUUGGAUCCAUCUGUUCUAAACCCAAACAAAUUUAGGCAGAGCACCAAAAUCAACCAUCUCUAUGGAUUUGAAUUCUAUAUGAUUCCUUUCAUAAUAUAUAUACCAAAUUGAAAAUUACCAAAGUAUUCCUUUUUAAUUAGGCAGCCAUUCCACAAAACCCCAUAUAUACAUAUUUUAAAACAAUGAAUAGUUAGAGUUUUGUUUAUAUUAUAAAGUUUUACAAACCAUUUUGUUCAUUAAUUGUUUGAAGAGAGAAGGAAAAAAAGAUGCCAAAAACCUAAAAAAUUAUAGAGAAUAUAUAUAAUAAUAAUGUGUUGUCUUAAUUAGCUAGGAUCCCACUUACAUAUACAUUAUUGUUAUUAAUAAGUAGAGAAAAGAAAUAUUCUUAAUUGUUGUUUUUAAAAAGAGAAUUAUAUGUGAUUUAGCUCUCCUUUUCAAGUGUGCUUAUACAAUGCCUAAUGCCUGAUUAAGCAUAUUGAAACUCUUAUCCCAUCUUUGAAAUGCUAAUCAAUAUUUUAUAAUAAUAUCUUUUAUUUUGAUCUUUAAGUUUUGGCUUAAUUACUUUCAAUUUAGUUCUAGAAUUAAAAAUGUGAUUAACUAAUUUUGAAUAAAAGAUUGGAAGGGUGUGCAUUUAAAGGUUGUUGUUGGAGAGGUAAAAAGUGAUUAAAAGUAACUUUUACUGCUUUUAAUAGUGGAUAAAAUAGAUUGAGAUUAUUAAAUAUGUUAAAAUCACUUUUAUACAAAUACGUUAAUUGCACAUCUUUUAGUAAAUUGUCACACAUUUUAUAUAAGAUGCUUGGACCUUGUUGCAUAAAAUGCCCUUGAUAAUUGAAUCAUACUAUUAAAUUUUUACCAAUCUAUGAUUAAUAAUUUUUUUUUAAUUAAUAAGUUUGUGAGAAUUAGUAAACAAUCUUCAACGAUCAAAUUGAAACCUCGAGAUUUUAAACUUUGAAAUGCACGUCAUUCUAAAUAUGGUACUAAAUUGCUAGCAUGAACGUACCUUAUUAACGCGGUUAUAUAGUUAAGGUUAAAAGUUCGAUUUUCUAACAACAUGCUUUAAUCACACUGCCUUUUCACAAAAUAAGAAAACAAAAGCAAACCAUGAAAUUCUUGAUUGAGUAAUAUAUAUGUUUGUGUGUGUGUGGAUGGAUGGAUAUUGAGAAAAUAUUGAAUGUAUACAUAGUUACGUGAGGAAUUUAUAAAAGCAGAAAAUAAGAUAAAGAAUAUAUUCAAAGAUUUUAGUUUUCUAUAAGUUACGUUUCUAUUCCCUUUUGAUGACCUAAGUCCCAUUGGGUAAAUAAAUAUAUCAAUUGUGUCGUCAUUUAAAAAGUGAGAAAUGAAAAUAAAAUUUUGAAAAGAAAAGUCAUUCUUUAAUGAUUUCGACAUUUCAUACUUCCUUUUUAUAAAACAAUAUGUUGAAAUUAAAAUCAAAAUUCAACCAAAAUAAUGGAGGGGUUUCAAAUAUAACCUAAACAAAUCAAAAUACGAUAAAAAUUUUGAUCUAUCAUUCAUAAAUUAUGACGAUUUUACGUUACAAAAAGAAAAUGUAAGUGCAUGAUGACAUAAUAUAAAAAAAUUUAAUUUUUGAACUGUGAGGUUUUUUAAAUUUUUAGUUUUGUGACUAAUUGAUUUCUAAAUAUAUUCAAAAUUUUAAAAAGUUGGUUGAUUUGUUAGGUGUAAAUUUAAAAUUCAUGUAUAUAAAUAUCUCGUUUUACAAUAAUUUCUUCUUUAAUUAGCAAGUGGAAAGAAAUGUUUAUUUAGAAACUACCUUUCCCUAGUUUUUUAAAAUGUUAAUUAAAAUUUAGUUCUUCUAAUUUUAAAAGUUAUUUAUUUAGUCCAUAUAAUUUGAUUAAAUCUCAUAUAUAGUUAGGAAGUUAUCAAAUCAUAGAAAUUAAAUUCCAAUUAUAAAUCAUGAAAAUUAAAUUUGUAACCUUUUUUUCAAACCAUUGGCAUACAAACUUUGUAAUUUGAAAAACAUCGAGUGAAAGUAAAUAAUACAACAUACGAUUUUAAUUAUAUGUGAAAGUAGAGUUUAUAUAGUGCAUAAUUUAGAAAAAUAAAAAACAUCAAAUAGUUAUCAAACUAAACUUAUAGAACUAUUUUGAAGUUGAUUUUCAAACAUAUAUGAAAUAGGUUUAGGUGUGUAUCUAACAUGAAAUCAUAAGUUUAACAAAUUAUUAUUAGAUACAUUAUACAAAUUAAAAUUGGAAGAUUGAGUUAGAUAUUUUUUUAAAAAAGAAAGUUUAAGAGUCAACUAUGGGUUUAAAUAGGAAAAGAGAGAGGAGAAAUUAGGGUAAGUGAUAGUGGUGAGGGGAGAGGAUGGGUAUCACAUGGGCAUGUCAAGAGAGAUUUGUUUAAAGCAAAGCCAUGGUUGUGAAAGUUGGUCGGUUUUAGACAUAAAUGAAUAUUUUGUAACCCUAAAUGUGUAACAUCUUUACUAUUCAAACCAAAAUAUACUUUAUUGUAAAAAGUUUUUGUCCUUUUUUCUAUACAAAUAUUUAUCAUAUUUUUAUUAGCCCUCAAUCACAUUUUUUUCAAUCUUCUUUCUCGAACCAAUAUAAAAGAAUAUAGAGGAGAAAUUCUGUGAACUUUCUAUUUUAAAUUUUACGGACUUUGCAAUAUAAUUAAUAUCGUCGAGAAUGUGUUGCAUGAACAAUGAAUGAAUAAAAGAGAAAACAACAUUUUAAAAUUUUGUUUCGUAAUUAAAUCAUUCAUAGUUUUAUAACUAUAUCAAAAUAAAUUUGGUUGGGUUAGUAAUUUAAUUGUUUGGAAGUGACUUGUGGACCUAAUGGCAUAAGCAAAGUUGAGAGAAUUUCACUUUUCUUGUCUCACAUUGAAGGAAAUAAGAGAGUAUAAAUAUCAAAAAGUUUAAGUGGGAAACAAAGUAUGUUGGUGGUGAUUACAUAACUCUAUCACUACGUGCUUGCUGCAACGGUCAUCCAUCUAGGUGGUUCGCGUAAUUGCACUAGCAUGAAUGAAAGAAAUAUUUUUAAUUACCUUUCUUUUUGUAUUUUGAAAAACUGAUUCGGUAUUAAUUAAUUUUCUCGAUUGACCUGACGUCUCCGGACUUGGCCUUUUGGAUCACCGAAAUCCAUCUCAUCUCAAUCUCUCGAAACCCAUCUUUGUCAUAUCCUAAAAAACAUCUUUGUUUCUAUUCCUUGUUCCUACGAGUGUACGUCUGAAUAGGAAAAACUGCGUUAAUCUUGGAGAGCAACCAACAACACAAUUGACACUUCAAUCAAUCUAUUUUUGUUCGAUAUUUGAUUUUAUUUUAUCACAAUCCAAAAGUAAUUAAAAGCAACGUGAAUGGAAAAUUCCAACAUUAAUUUGAAAAAUUAAAGUACCCCAGUAUUUUUAAAAUCCUAGGAAAAUAUGUAGAGCAAUAUUAUUUUACUAUCAAAUUAUUAACAUCUAGCAAUAUCAACUUUUAGUAUAGGUAAAAAUUGUCUCUUUCUUUCUAAGAAAAAAAAUUAACUUUGAAAGAUAUAUAUAUAUAUAUAUGAACAAUUUGGUUGUAGACCUAAUAUACCAAGAAUAUUAGGUACUCCAUAUAUGUGUCCGUAGUGUUACUUAAUUAACUUAUUAAAUUGAUAUUUCCAAUGUAGAAGAAACGUAAUACGUAAGGUUAAUUACAUAUUAAAUCCAUAUUAAUUUUUGCUUUAUAAGAGAACUUGAUUCAUUUAAAUCUAUGGAUUAUUAUUCCAUGUAGAGUGGACAAAACCCAAUCUAAUAUUCUACCCAUCUUUCAUUUUAAUUCAUCCUUACAAUCACCUUAAAAUUCUUGGAUAAUGAUUAUGAUUUUGUUAAACAAUUAAAAACCAAAAUCACAUCACCAUGAGUUGGUUAGUGGUAAAAUAACAAGAACAAAGAUCAAGUCAUUUGUUAAAUGUAUGUAUAUGUAUUCUACUAACUUUCUUAACACACCAAAUGAAUUAUACGAUCAUGAAUUAUAUUGUUUGUAAAAUUAGUCGACAUUCACUUAUAAGUUGACCUAUACAUGCACGGCGGACCUCGCACACACAUAAAAUGGUUACAGUUGUUAACCUAUAGAAACAGCUAAACUGUUACGUGACACAAACUAAAUUAUGAGACUGUCCUUGAAGGUGGAAAGAGGGGGAACAAAUGGAGAAAUGGGACAGGGUGUGAGCCAAAUGGACAAAUGAAAAGAAAGAAAUAGAUAUAUAAUAUAUUGUGAAGAUGAUUAUAUGUAUAGGGAAUUUAUAUAAGAGAUGGUGGGGACUGGGGGUGAGUGUGUAAUGGAAUUGGACCCUUUAGAUACCUGAAGAAGAAGCAAAAAUGAACAAAGACUAUGAUGACUUCAAUUCAUCUUUUGGUUGCCCCUAAACACUCAAUUAUGUUUUGUCCCUUUUAAACUUCAACUACUUUCUUAAACUCAAACCACACAUUUUCUCCCCUUCAAUUAGCUGUUGGAAUAUGAUCUCUCUCUCUCUCUCUCUCUCUCUUUUCCUUUCUUUUAUCAUUAUGCCCACCUUUCAAUUUUUAGGGUUUUCUUUUGCUCCUUUGUGGAUGGACAUUAGCCACUUUCAAUACCUUUUUUCUUACAUGUGAGAGAAUAUAUUUGAAAUCGAUCCAAUUCAGUAUUUAAUUUGUCUGUUCAUUUCUAGUAGUUUCUUGAAGAUGAUGCGUAUAUGUAAGGUGAAUUGUUAGAACGGAAUAAUAAUAUUGUUCUUUAUUCUUGGAUAAAACUUAUAAACACUCAAUUGAUGUGAACACGCACGUUCUAUCAACUUCAAAGUUUCUUUUGUUGUCUUUUUUAGUAUAAGUUAGGGGAAAGAAUUUGAACAUGAAAUCACUUGAUUCUCAAUUCUCGAUAUAUACAAGUGUCAGUUGAGUUAAGUUAUCGUUGUUUUUUAGGUUUUCUUUUUCCUCACAUAUUAUCACAUUAAAAUUAACAAAACUAAUAAAUACUUAUACUUUUAUAUUAUAUAAAUGUCUCGAACGUGAGGUCAAGUUAUGAAAAAACUAAAAUGAAAAAAAUAUAUUUCUUAAACUUUUUAUCAUUGAAAUUUAGCUCUGAAUUAUUUGGAUGUUAAUUUUCAGAAAAGAUGAAAACAUUUAUUUUCUUAAAAGAAACAAAUAGUUAUUUUUGCUUGCUUUAUUAUAUGUAUUUAUUUAUUGUAUUGAAAUUAUUUAGUUUGUAAAAUUAGAAUAUGAUUUAAAUUACAAGGUGUCGUGAUUACUACAAUAUUUAUAUAUAUAUACGUUUGACAAUAUUAAUAAAAAAAAAUCACUAAUAAUUUAUAAAAGUAUAUAGAAAAAAGGUAGAAAUUAAAUUAAAAGUAAUUUUGGAAUAAACAUAAAUAGUUACAUCAUAUAUUUUAAUAAAGAAGCAAUAAUAUCUGUUUUUGGAAACAAUAUAUCAAAUAUCUUUUGAAGAAAAUUUUGAAAAAAAUUUGAAGACAAUAUAGAUUGAUGAUGAUAUAUAUAUAUAUCAAUUCCUCCCAAUAUUAUCAUUAUUCAAAUAUUCAAAUGACUUAGAGAUAUGCAUUGCAAGACUGCACUGCAUGUACACAUGUGUCCAUAGAAUAUAUAUAUAUAUAUAUAUAUAUAUACAUAUAAUCCAAAUUACAUAUUCAUUUUUAAUAUAAUUGUAUAUUUACAAAAAUUAAAGGCAAAAAAAGUCAGCAUAUAAAAUUCCAUUUGUAUAAUUUUUAUUCCCCAUCAGCCUUGUUCAAUAUUUGAAAAUAAAAACAAUAUACAAUUAAUGACUCGUUUAGUAAUCAUGUAGGUCUUCGAAAAUAAUAUAUUGGAUCUAAUUUCUAGGUCUCAAAUAUAUAUGUUUCGAAAUAUUUAUAACACGUUAAUAUUACCAUUUCUUAAACAGAGAGCAAUAAUAUUUAUUGAAUUAUUUUUCCUUUUUAAUUUCUUUCCUUAUUCUUUUUAUAUGUUAGUCCCUAAUAUUAAAUUAAACUAAGUUAAUACUUAAACUAACAUAAUGUCUACAUCACAUCUUACUUCCAAUAUUUUAUAAUUAAUUAUAAUAAAAUAGUAUUAAAAACAACUCUCCAUUUUUAGAAGAUAUAAUAUUAAAUUCUAAUCUUCACAUUUUCAUAAAUUCAAUAUCAAUAUUGACACGAGAGGUAAAUCGAAUAUAUAAAGUAAGCGAUAAUUUACCACUAAUUGUGAACAUAAUAUACACAAUAAAUAAUUUCUCAUUCAAGAAGAAAAAAUUAUUUACUUACUAUAUAUAAUAAAUAAUGUCCAAUAUAUACCAUCCUUUUACUAAGUUUGAAUGUAUUUGUACAUGGUGUCUACAUGCCAUACAAAUAUACAUUAUUAGUGUUCCAAUAAGCUCACCAUCUACUCACCAAAUUACCUGUAUUUUAUGGUGGAAAAUUUUAGAUAAAAUUUGAUUAUUUGAUUAUUUCAUAAUUUGUUAUAUUUAAUUAAAAAGGUUUGGUAAUGGUAAUUCCAUUAUUGAAAGGUACAUCCACAGAGAGGAAAACAUAAAGUGGGAAAAUAUAAUUGUUGAGGGAAUACACACAAACACAUAAAAGACAAAGAUUCCCACGUGUGGGGUUUUGAAAAAGAUAUUUUUUUCUUCUUCUUUUUUUUGAAAGUCUUUUGGAAUUUUGUAAUAUAAAUGGAUUCCCCAUAUCCGAUAAUUAAAUACCCUAUAGAUUUAAAAACAAUGACAAGUUUUCUUUUUUCUUCAUUUCCUAAAAUAAUAUGUCCCUUCUCAAAUUCGUAUCAAUCAUCAAUUGUUAGGUCUAGUAAUAAACUUUUUAAAAAAAUUUAAAAUACAAACCAAAGAACCUUUCAUACUUACCUAAGAACACAACUUGUUAAUAUAUUUAAUUUUACGAGUUUUCAUUGCUUUUUUUGUUUAUACUAUAUUCUAUAUACAAUAUUAAAUCCUCCUUUAUUCUAACACAAUCAACAUAUUCAAUUAAUCUUCUUAUUCUAUAUUCGUUAGAAAGUUUAGACGGAAUAAAUUAAAUUAAAUUAAAUAUAUUUAUAACGAUCGCAUACCUAAAAUUUAAUAUUCUAAAUGUUAUAUUAAAGUGUGUAAAAUGUUUUUGAAGUAAAAUGCAUAUUUAUAUCAAAUACAUUUAUAUAACUUAAGAUAAGAUGUAUAUUUAAGUAUUUUUCUUAUUUUCAAUUACUUAAAAAUUUAACUUCUUUUUUUCUCUGUUGAAUUUUUUUAAUCCUUCUUACGAAACUUUUUGAGACCCCACUUCACAUUAGCCUCCAUAUCCUUUGAAGAAAACAAAAACAAAAACAUGGCACAUUAAAGUUUGUUCUUUUGCCCAAAGGAAAAAAAGAAAAAAACUCACUUUCUCUCUUACUUCUUCUCUUCUCCUCUCUCCCUAUAUAUAUAUAUAUAUAAGUACACAACCUUCUCACCAAAUCAAUCCCUCCAUUAUUAUUCUCCAAACCCAAAGAACCAACCAACGUCCAAUUAAGUGUACAGUGUGAAAGAAAGGUAAUAAAAUGUCAGGUGUUUGGAUUUUCGACAACGGCGUGAUCCGGCUAGUGGAGAGAGCAGGUGCAGCAGAGACGACGACGUCCGGGGGAUCAGGGAAAAGAAAAGUUCUGAUAUACACACCAACGAACGAGGCGAUGACAUCGUAUGAGGUGCUAGAAAACAAGCUAUCAAUGUUGGGAUGGGAAGUGUACUAUGAAGAUGGAGAGGUUAUGCAAUUUCACAAACCAUCGUCUGUGGAUCUAAUUUCACUUCCUAAAGAUUUUAAUAAGUUGAAGGCUAGACACUUAUACGACAUCGUUGUGAGGAAUCGUAAUCUUUUUCAAGUUAAGGACAUGCAGUCCCACUAAUUGUAGGACCCCUAUACCCUUAACUAUUACUAUCUCUCUCUUUAUAAUUAAUGCCUUUUUUCUUCUUCUUCUUCUUCUUUUGAGAUGAUGUAGUUUGUUUGUGUGAUUGAUUAUUAUUGUGUUUAUGUGUGUGUUUGAAGGUAAUAAUAUAUAUAUAAUAUAUAUAUAUUGGGGGUGGUUUGAUUAUUAUGUAAAUUUUGUUGUUGAAAUUACAAUUCACAAUGGAAUUAAAUUAUAUAAAUUUGAAAUUAUUGUUUUUGAGUUUAUUUGAUUUGAUAAGUCUCUCCUUUCUCUCUUUCUCUCUUUUUUUUUUUAAGUAAAAAUAUAUUCGAAACCGAAAUCUCUUUUAACUCUAGAGUAUAUACAAGUAGUUAAACUCUUGUUGGUAUAUCUUUCUCUUGUUCUUGAUGUAUGGAAGAAUUUGUCUACCAUUUUUAAGAUACUACUUUUGUUUUAACAUAUAUUUGAGUUUUAUACUCUCAUCUAUCUAAGUUUAGUUUAUCUAGUUUUACUAGAUCUUUUUAUUAUUAUUAUUAUGAAUUAUGAGAAAAUAUAUUUGUACAUUGUUUUUUCUAUUAUGAAUUUUUUUUAUUAUUGUUAAAAAAAAAAAAUUAGAAUACAAAAACAAGACUUGAACCAAUAAGUUUUUUUUAUGGAUGGGAGGUAUUAGAAUGAAUGUAUGAGUUAUAUUAAAGGAAGAUAUAAAGUUGAUUAAACUUUGCACUUCUCUAAAUAAUAUUUUAGGACUUGAAUUAAUUAGUGGUUUUAUAUAUAUAUAUAUAUAUAUAUAUAUAUAAGUUUAGUCCUAGUACUUUUGUGUCUACUAUCACAUGUGAUAAUUACCAAUCAAAUACUGAAUUGGAAGUUCAUAAACUUAAUUAAACUUAUAAUUCUAACAUUUUGUUUUAUAUUUUUAGUGAAUAGGAUUUGGAAAUUAUUGAAUGUCACUAUAUAUAAAACUAUAUUUUAUAGGGUUGGAUUAUUUUACAAAGGGAAGUGAGGUUAAAGAAGAAUGGGGAGUUGACACGUAGAUAAAUAUAAAAAAAUUUAUAAAAAGAAUAAAUUAAUCACAUUUCCAAUUUUUAAAAUAAAGUCAUUUUUUUUUAAAUAUGAAUUUUGGGAUGUAGCUAAGUUAGGGAUAUAGAUAUUGUCCCCACCUCAGCAUCCAUUUAAAUGCAUUAUUAAUCAAGCAGUAUCUUCCUCAAGAUUUGGAAAUAUUAUUUUACCUAUAUGUAAUAUAUAUAUAUAUAUAUAUAUAUAUAUAUAUAUAUAUAUAUAUAUAUAUAUAAUAUUAUAUAUAUAUAUAUAUAUAUAUAUAUAUAUAUAUAUAUAUAUAUAUAUAUAUAUAUAUAUAUAUAUAUAUAUUUCUCUUAAUGCAAAUUCCCAUUUUACAAAUAAUACCCAUAAAAUUAAAAAUAUAUAUAUAUACAUUGAGUUAUUUUUUUUCAAUGUUUUAUGUUUUACCAUAUAAUAUAUUUUGUUGUAUUAACGAAUAUUUAAUAUUUUCUAAUAAAUAUGUAAUAAAGGUUAUUAUAUACAUAUUUGAUGUUUAAAGUAAUUAUAUUUUUAUCUGAUAUUUGUUGUUUUAUUUUAUAUUUUUUAGAAAUUUCUAUCAGCUGCUUCACAUAUCCAAUUAUAUAUAGAAUUAUGAGCCUAGCUAGUCACAUUAUUUUUUGUCUAACUCUCAAAUAAUUUCUCCAAGAUUUGAUUAUUACAGACAUAAGUGAGAGAGAGAGGUUUUGAUUGGAAAUUCUUAUGUAUCCAACUUUCUGUCCUAUAUAUGAUUAAAAAAUUUACAUACAUACAUGCAUACAUACAUAUAUAUAUAUAUAUAAUCGAUAAAAUAUAUGGUUUGAAUAUUAAUUAAAUUUAAAACAAUAAGUGAUAAAAGAAGCUAAGGAAAUGGUUACCAUGCAAAAUGCAGAACAGCCCACAGAAAAAAUGGUUAAAAUACAAUCUCACUUCCUAUACUCCAAAUUGAAAUGGUUAAGUAAAGAAAUUGAAAUGCAUUUAUUAGUUAAAAUGAAAAGAAUAGUGAAUAAUGAUAAUUGAAGAAAGGAAGGGGGGGAAAAAGCGAGGUAAGGUAAGGGUUAAGCAUAUGGUAAAAGUAAAAAAGGGUGGUUGAGAUAUGUGGGGUUAGGGUGAGCUGACAUAGCACGUGCAUGCGCCACAAGCUGGCGACGAUAAGACUCGCCCUCAUGGGUCAACGGAUUUCGCCCAUAUCGUGGGGGAACAAACCUACCUUUUUCUUUCUUCUUCUUCUUCUUCUUCUUUUUAAUACUCUUCCUCCUCCAUAGCUAAUCUUCAAAUUUCGACAUUGAUGGUGGUACACAUUUUUAAGAAGGAAUUAUAUAGAAGAACACAAUUUUUUAAAAAAUUAAUUAAUAUUUACAUUGUAUUGUUGAUUGUUUAUUUAAUGUUUCAUGAGUUUUUUUUUUAUUAUUUAUUUAAAUGUCAAUCAAUUCUUCAUGUGGAGACGUGGAGUUGAUAUGAAAAAGAAAAUGUAGGGUGUAAGAUUGGGACAAUAAUAAUGAUAAGAAAAAAGAAAAAGAAAAAUAUUUAGAGAGAGAGGGUUUGAGAGUCACGUGUGUAUAUGAGUAAAACCCAUUCCUAUUUGGAAAAGAGAGAAAUGGGCACCAAUACUUUCUCCCAUUGAGCCGUCGCUUCCCUAAUUACCUACUUCAUACACAAAAGAAAACGAAAAACAUAUCAUUUGGAUGUUUAUAUAUAUAUAUAUAUAUAUUUAUAUAUACAUAUCCCCCAGGCCCAUCGGCCAUACACUUGCAUGCAUGCACAUUAUAUUAUUUGGAUGACCUACAUUUUUGUUACGAUCCAUAUCAUCUCCCCAUUUUGAAUUUUGAGUUUCUUUCUGCCUUUCAGUAAAUAGAGUGUACCUGCUUACUAAGAUUGUCAAAAUUUUCUUUUCUUUUCAAUUUUACGUGUACAGUAUAGAUCGACUCAUUAGAUACUUUUGAAAGUUACAACCAACUAAUUAAACUUGCAAUUUAACUAAAUCAUCGUGUGUAAAAAGUAGAGUAUCGAACAAAUCAAUUGUUGUAUCGUGGAUUGAUAGUCACUAUCUUGAAAAUAAACUACAACAAUAAUAUGAUCUCAAUGCUAGAUUGUUUAGUUAUAGUAGGUUGAGUCUCUUCCAUGGUUAAUUAACACAAUAUCUUUCUCUCACAUGACGCACUAGUUGGGAAAAAAUCAAAUGAAAGUAAAAAACUUUGCUUAAAUCGAAGAAUUAGAUCAAUAAUUUAAAGUUGUUUCGUUUUAGAUCUAAAAAAUUUAAUACUUAAGCAAGGAGACAAAAUUAAAAGUUUAAUUCCAUUGUUAUGCACACUUUAUCUAUAAUAUGAGUUCAAAUUUGAUCACAUUUUAGUUUCUAUAUGGUUUAUUUCACUUUAUUUACUAAUUUAUAACCCUAUCAAGUUGAUGACUUGAUAAGUGACUAUGUUUCUUUUUCACCAGCUCUUUUGACUUUAACCUUUAAUCUUUUUAGUGAUUUUGUUGAGCAUGGUACCUUCGCCCUAAUCAACUUUGUUGGUACACAAAACAAACACCCAUGGUUCUGUAAACGUUUAGCUUUACAAAUUAUGUGAACAAUUUUUUAAUACAAGCACCAACGACAACGUGAUAUUGAAAAUACAAUCAAAGUUUUACAUUAGUUAGAUAAAAUACAAGAAUAUAAAUUAAAGCAACCAUCUCUAUUGACAUUAGAUUCUUUAGAAGACAAAGCCACAUGAGAAUUAUAUUCUCAACGUGAACAAUACAUCAUAUUUCAAGAUAUUUAAAAAGGUGUUGUCCCUUGCUAACACAUAUAUAUGAGGAAAGGUUGUACGCAAUGGGCAAAACUCGAGUCAUUUUCAACAAAAUACACAAUAGCUUUUUGAGGCAAGGGAUUAUCCAAUACUAUUAGUAUAACCAAUUUUUGUUACAUGUAAAUACUAUUUAAAAGUUUUCAAAUUAACUAUAAUUAUCACUAUUUCAAAAUCUUUCCUUUGCUACAAUAUUCACUAUUUAAUAUAGUAUAAAUAUUUAUUAUCUUCAACAAAUUAAAAUAGUUAAUCCAUCAAAUACUACGAUAAUGUUAAUAAUAAAAAAAGAAAAAUUGGUAAUAAAAUUGAAAAUACAAUAAUUAACAUUGAAUAACUCCAAGCCGAUUACGAAGGAAAACACUUUUUUUUCAAAACAUUCAUAACAAUAAAUUUUGAGAGUCUCAAAUUAAAGAAUUUUGAAAAGGGAAUAUACUUCAAUUUUAAAACAUUGAGAGAAAAGGAACAACAACAUAUAGGGGUGAAAAUAAUGUUUCAAAACUAAAUACAUUUUCAUCAAUCUAAUUAUUAAUAUCCAACAAAUAGUUUGCUUUGUUGAAAUAUUCAAGUUGGUUAUUCACCCUCCAAUUUUAUCAACUUAAUUAAUUGAUGUUUAAUUAUCUAUUAAAUAUAUGAUUAUUAUUGUUGUUGUUUUAUCUUAAAUUUGCUAAUGAACUCUAUCAAAUUCAAGACUAAAAUUGGAAAAAUUUUAAAAUAUCAUUGGACUCGUUUGUUCAAUUUUAAAAUUUAAGAAAUUCUUUCUUUUCUCUUUAUUAAUUUAAUUUCUUUCCUUCACUAACUAUUUUGUUUGUAUAUUGAAAUUGCAUAGUAUUUUUUAUUUUUUGGAUCUAAUUUGGGUAUGAUAGUUAGAUUUUAAAAUUUUAUAUGACUAAGCAAUUAAUUAAUUUAAAAUAAUUAUAUAUGAAGUGAAAUAUAAAAAAUAGUUAGUAAAGGAAAUAAAAAGAAGAGUAGAAGAAGGUCGUCUUUUUCCGCACAGUUUCAGCCACGAGGAAGAGAGUGAGCAAAGUGGUGAGUGAAGCGUGGCGUUGGGUUUUGUUUUCGUUCAAAUUUCAAAUCUUCCACAAACUCUGUCCCCAUCUUCUCUUAUUUUUCUUCCUUUUUUUCUCUUUCCUCUAAUCUUUUGAAUUUUGAUUUCGAUUUCGAUUUCGAUUUCAUCCAUCCCCAUCCCAACCCUAAUUCCCAAUUCUUCACAUUCUGAUAUUCCCCAUUUCUAUUUUUCGAUCCCUGCUUCUAUGGCCGACUCCGACUCUUCCACUCCUUCCCCUGCUCCUCUAUCAGCAGUGAGUUCUCUUCAUUUUCUUCCUUUUCACUCUUUGAUUAUCCCCCAUUUUUUUUUUCCACAUACCCAUCUUCUUCUUCUUUCAAUUGCUUACUCAACCCCUUGCUUUUUCUAUCUGACAUUCUUAUUUCUUCUGUUCACAGAAAAAGGAGAAUCUAACCCCCAUUGGCUCCAAAAUUACGGUAUAUAUAUUCUUUUUCUUUUUUUGGACUCUAUUACUUUUAUUUGUGAAUUUUGCCUUGUGAUGUUGAGAUUAUGAAGUUUAAUUGUAAGAUAUUUGAGAACUAAAUUGUACAUUGUUUGAAGUUGGGAUUUUGAGAAUAUGAAUUAUAUGUGUUUGGGACUUUUCAGAUUGUGCAGCUAAAGAGUGUUAUGAAUGUAAAUAAGAGAUUUUUGAGUUUUCGGGUCCUGCUGAUGUAGUAUUAAUAAUUAACAUGGUUUCCUAAAAUGUGGGAAGUCCUGAGUUCAAAUUUCUUUAGUGUCAUUUCCUAUUCGUUUCUUGUAAUUGGAUACUUGUAGGGUUAUCUACUAAUUUUCGAACUAGAGAUGGGAAGGAAGGAGUGUUAAGAACAUAUAGAAAAAGUAUAUACAUUAGCUUAUUAGCUAAGUCUUUUGGGUGUGGGGUGUGAUUUCAAAGUCUAACUGCCAUUUAACUUUGAUCUUCUGAGAUUUUCCACGUUUGUUCUCAGGAAUUGAACGAAUCAAGAUCAGAGCUGCUUAAUAGAAUUCAAUCUCUUAAGCAGGUGAAAUUUAGAUUUACAGUGAGCCUGAUUAAGCCCUUGCUCAUUUUUAGUUGUUUCUGUUCUCUGAUUUUGUAAACGUUCCCUGUGUUUGAGCAUUAUUUCAGGAUCUCCAGAAUUGGAGGUCAAAGCUAGACACGCAAGUUCAUACCUACCGCAGUGUAAGUUAAUAGUAGUGAAUUUUGUCUUGGCUUUUAUUCUAUUUGUUCAUGCUUUUUUAUGUAUUCACAUAUUUCUUAAAUGUAACUCCACGGUCCACCAGCCAGCUUGCCAUGUUCUAAGAUAUUUGUGUUUGAGUUUCCUACAAUGGGUCAACAUGAUCCAUAAUCAAGUUGGUUAUCCUAGAAGCCUACUGUAAUCAGAUCUUGUGGCUCAUACAGACAGCCGGUUACUGUAGGGUAGACGUGAUGUUGGUUAACUGAUUCUUGGUAGUUCAAACUUCAAAGAGAUCUCAACUCAAGUCUGCUAAUGUUUUCGUCGUGUAGGAUAUUUAAUCCCUCAAUACCUUGGUUUACAAGAAAAUGUACGCAUAGGCUAUUCAUCAUAAUGAAAUUUUCCCGUUUGUUGGUCAUAUCCAUCGGUAUCCCCCCUAUUUCAAUUUUAUCUGUGUUCCUGCAGCAUUUGAUACGUAUCUUCAAUGCUUCAUGCAGGAACUCUCUGAACUCAAGAAAUCACUUAAUGUUGAAGUAGAGCACCUUCGCACGGUAAGGAGCAAUGCUUCACAUAUUGAAUAUGCCUUUAAACUUUUUUAUGCCAUUUGGAAGGGCAAUAAAUUUGUAACAUGAAACCAGGAAUUCCAAGAACUAAGGACUACGCUUCAGCAGCAACAAGAAGAUGUGACUACUAGCUUGAGGAACUUGGGUGUAAGUUCUAUUUCUAACAAGUACUGACUUUCAGACUAAAAUAUACAAAUGAAUUUCGUCAAAACACCACCAACCCAUACUGUCUCACCAUAUUCGUGACCAAUAUAUUGAAGAAAGUUAUGAAAUGCUAGCAGCUUCAGGAUGUUUCUGUGGACAAUAAUGAGACACAACAUCAACAUCCAGUAGGAAGCCCCGACAAGGAAGAUGCAGACGAGGCUAAGAAGGAUAACUUAACAGAGGAGAAAGGUAAUGAAGCUGAGAAUUAAGUGGCAGUUUUAGCAUGGUACGUUUCUAAGCUUUUCAUUGCAUGGUAAGAGAAUCUUAGCAGUUCUCUCUAGGCGAUGGAUUUCCACAUUUUUCUAUUUUGCAUCAUGCUCUAUUUAAAUUUCAAUCUUUGUAACGAUAGGGUUCUUUCAAUAUUUCCCAUUGAGGUGUUCUAUGAUAUCUCCACCCUUUAGAGCUGAUCUAUCUCUUUGGCUAUGUCUCUUUCUCUAAAUAACUAUGGAGUUUAUGUUGGACAAACUUUCAGUACUUCAUAGCAUUGGUUCAUUGAAGAACGACGUGUUUCUUGGUUCUAUAUUUCUCUCAGUUAUAAAGAAUUGUGGGGCAGAGUAGUUAUUCUUCUUGCAAAGGCUUGGUUUUGGUAACUAUUUGGUUCGUGAUUUUGAUUUUUUGAAAAUUGUAUUUGCCUUCUUGUAAUUUCUUUUGCGGUUUAACAAAACAUAGUAACUUAUGGAUGGAAGAAGUGAUUAUAAGUUUAAUUUCUAAAAGACAAACAGUAACCAAACCAAACACCAUUCAAAUACGUAUAUUAGCAUAUUGAUGUAAACUCGAAGAUCAAUACUUUGGUAUCAAAAUUAGGCUUUUGUUCCUUGAAAUUUUUAGCUUAACUAAUUAAAUUAGUAUGAUAGUUCUAGUUGACGUAUGUUUGUUAAACUAUGUCUUAAGUUUUCUUUUUUGUUAUUUUGAUGUAUGUAUUUUCAAAUUUUUCAAUAUUUUUACAUUUUUACAAGCGUUGGCAUAAUUUAACGAACUUUUUUGUAAAAUAAGAACUCUUUAAUACAAGUUUAUGGUUAUAUUUAAGAUUUUUUAUUUUAUUUUUGUGAAAAUCACAUUUUAAGAAAAUUAGUGAGUAAAGUCAUGCUAAAAUUUCAAUAAAGAAAAAAAAGAGAUAGAAGUUUGAAGGGAUGAAAUGCAUAGUUUAAGUAUAAGAAUCAAAAUGAAAAUGAUUUUAAAUCAAUCAAAAUUAUAUAAACGAAAUUAGAAUUAAGUUAUUUUAUUUUUUACUACCAAUUAGAAAUAAAUUUCAAAGCUUCACGAAGCAAUUAAAUAUUAAAUUCAAAUUUCAACCACAAAAAUCAUAUACCCAAAUGAAGCUACAUACAAAAAACUGAGUUUAAUAAAUCUCCUAAAUAAAGCUAAUAACACUAUAGCUUUUAUUUUUUCAUUCAAAUCUUAAUAAUGGAGCAUCUACCAAAGCAACCAUAAUUGAACUUGCAUAUAACAUAGAACACAUUGGUUGGUGAUUAAGAGGCCUACAUUUACAAUCCAAAACUAUACAUAUAGACUAAAAAUAUUACUAGAUGUGUAAGAAGAAAAAUACUUACGUUUGUUUAGGUUUAUACAUUUGAUCAAAUCAUCCAACGAAUGAAACGAGAUCAUUCAAAUAUGGGUCGUGUAAGAAAGAUAAAGAUGGUCAAAUAAUUGAAUUUUGUACAAUAAUGUACGAUUUGAUUUGAUUUAUAUUUAUUUAUUUUGGGAAAAUAUAGAUUUGGAAAGGUUUUCUUGACAUCAAUGAAGCUUUAAAUUUGAAAUGUACUUUUAACUUCACACGCACAUCAACAUUAUUCAUUUUAUUUUCCCAACGAUAUGAAUUUACAUUUUCCGAAGCAGAGUUGGUGGGAUCACUUUAAUUUUCUCACAAUUAUUAAAAUAUCAAUUAUUAUUUUCUCAACCAACAAAUUUGGUCACUUAAAACUACUCCUAUUUAUUUCCCUUUAUUACCUCUUAUUAAAUAUUAAUCCCAAAAUUUAAAAUAAAAAGGAAAAAAAAUCUCAAAAGUUUAAAAUAUGGAAUAACUAGUAAUUAACUUAAUCAAAAUUUCCACCACUUAAAAAACAUACAGAGGUGGGAUAAUCUAAAAACUGCUUCUAACAUGGUGUUGGUUUUGUUGAGUUAUACUUGGAUUAGAUUGUGUUUGGCUGUCUAGUUUCACACACCUAACCAAACCCAUAUAUGGUAUGUGGAGAUUGUUUGCUUUACCAAAGCUUGGGACUAGCUACAAAGAUGAAGUAAUGUAAACCCAAACUAUAGAAAAUUAGAGUUAUUAAGUCCAUCUCUGAAGCUAUAUAACCAAAUACAAGCUAACAUAAAAGACUUUUGAAACCUAUUUUCACCUCAAAAAUUCAAACAAUAGGGUCAUACAUUUAAACUACCAAGUUCUGUAAAACUAAACUAUACACAAAAGAAUAAGAUAUAAGAUAAUGAGAGAGCAGCUAGGAGUUUAAUGACAAACAAGACUUGGAAGUGCUACAAAACAGAGGAAAGGGUAAAGGGGCUGUUUGCUGUUUUCAUUUAUACAUUGUUAAUUGUGUUGUCCUUUUUACCUUCAUAACUUCUGGCUGUCAAUCAAAAUUAUAUAUGUUGCGUGGGAAAAUGGGAGUGUUCUCUCUUUUCACUUAUUUGCAAAUAUAUAAAUUCACUUACAACUGUAGGGCUGUCUGUAUCAAGUUGUCAUCUUAACUAUGUUUGCCUUUACUCAGAGAUCAUCAGAUGCCCCUUGGCCAUGGCCGCACGUCUACCUAAAGGAAAUGUGGCCUUUUUUUUCUUUUUGUUUACAGACAGAAUACAACAUUGGUUUUAACCAGCUCAUGCAUUAUGUGGUUCAUUCAAUGCAUGAGAGAGAGAGGCCAACAAAUUUAUUUUUGACUCGCUAUUUAUUAGCGAUACUAGGACUCCUACCUACUUCGUGAGAAUUCAUCUAAUAAAUUCUCCUUAGUAUACUCACAAGUUUUUCAACCUUCUUCAAUAGAUUGGGAGAGUGUUUAGUCCGCUGACUUCAUAAGUCGGUUUUAAGUAACUUCAUCAAAUUCAUUAGUGUUCACUAUUGAAGUUUGUACAUUUAUUGAAAAACUUUAGCUAAACUUUGAUUUUCUAACUUUAACAUAUUAACUACAUGCUUUAGAACUCAACUUAGCACCUCUAGCACUACAAAAGGAUACGUUUGGAUUAACUUAAUUAUGAGUGUUUUAAAGCUCUAUUUAAACACUUGAAAAUUUAAGGGGAACAAAUGUUACGUCUUGAUGUGUUUGUUCUCUUAUUGCUACUUUUCGUAGUCGUAUUCUUGACAACAAGAAUGUAAGGUUGAUUACUAACACUUUAAUCAGAUUUUUAAAUUUUACUUUGUUUGUUUUGAAUGUCUUUGCUUGGAUUCCCUUUUGAAAUCUCAAUCAAUUUCAAAAUAUGAAAACAAGUUAUUUGAUAAGAACAGCUUUUCCUAGCAUCUAAGGUUUGGAAUUAAAAAAAAAAAAUACUUGUAGGAGGUAGGGCUAUACAGGACAAAGGAAAACCUAAUUUGAAAACCAAAAUCACUGGCAAAACCUAAUAGAAAAUGUAGAAGAAAAGAAAUCUUAGAUGGGCUGUGGCAAAGAUUUCUCAACUUCCACAUAAGGAAAACCCUCAUUGGACAAAUCUUGGUAUUCUUAACUCCUAUUAAUCAAUCGUCAUUAAUGAGUCAAAUAGAAGAGGAAAGGGUUGCACCAAAGUAAGCUUGAAAAGGCGAGGAUGUGAUUGUGAAUGAAUGUAGGGAUUAUCUAAUUGGGAGAAGAUAAUAGUAUUAUUAUACAUUGGGUGAAAAGAGAAAAAGAACAAUAAAUCUUGAAAUGUGAUACAAAGGAGGAUUAAACAAUGGGUCAAUCUAGAUUAAAGAGGGAGAGGGAGUAGUUCAGAUAAUUAAAAAGACCAUUUAAUGCAUGAUGAUUUUUUAAAUUUGUUAAAAAGAGUUUUAGAGUUUCCAGGAUAUUUGUUGGGAGAGAGUGAAACCUGGCAGCCUGCUUUUAAAUUCCACUAUAAUUACGGGGAGAAAGCUAGGAAAGCUGCUACUCUUUUGUCAUUUUCUUGAUAGACCAGUGCUCUUUUCGAACUCCCUUCUUCAAUACUAUGUAUAUAGCAAAUCUAUGGAAUAAUGACUCCUCGACUCCAUAGUUUCACUUUCAAUCUCUCUUUUUGAACCAGAAGCAGAUUUUUGGUCAUUCCCGUCUCUUACUGAACUGGGACUUUCCUUCCAAUGGCUGUGGUAUGUUCUGAAGCAGCACCCUCACAACCACUCAGAGCACAGGUAAAUAAAUGCCUACUCUUUCUUACCAAGUUUUGAACUUUUUCUUUUUCUUUUUCAUCUCCUCAGGCAUUCCCCCGUUCAUCCCCUUCUUUUCUUUGCAGGUUUGGGUCUUGAAAGUUUCUAUUCACUGUGAAGGGUGCAAGAGGAAGGUUAAAAAGGUUCUACAGAGCAUUGAUGGUACCAUUCCAAAUUGUACACUUUUACUGUUUUUGGUUUCAAAUGUGAGAAAAUUAACAACUGAUAGUUCCAAUUUUUUUCCUUCCAUGUUAGUUCUUUUACCAGUGAAGUAUAGGAUUUGGGAACUUUUACAAGUUGCCCUUAGUCUAAAGCUUUGGAAGUGAUAACCUUCUUAAUCUUGUAGGCGUUUAUACGACCAUUAUUGACUCAGACCAACAGAAAGUUACAGUCACUGGAAAUGUUAGUCUUGAGACUCUGACCAAGAGGUUGGGAAAGGCAGGUAAACAUGCGGAAAUAUGGCCAGAAAAGCAAGCGGGAAAAGAGAAACAGAGCAUCAAGAUGUUGGAGACUAACAAAGGGAAAGACCAAGAAAAUGUAAGAAGUCCAGGUACUAAUAAAGCUUCAGCAAAGAAGGUUGAGUUUAAGGUCAGCCCUGUCAAGAAAAACCAUGAAGAACAGAAUAACAAGUCAAAGAAUAUUGGAAGCUCUCCCAAGAAACCUCCGGCCAGGGAGGCCACGCCGGCUUCCGGCUCCAAGGGCAGUACUACUGGACAAGAGGGUUGUUCUCCAGACAAAAGUAGUGAAAAGAGGAAAAUGAAGGGGCAUCCAGGUAAUAACAUUAGUGAUAAAUCAAGUUCAAUCCCCCAAAAUGGACAUGGGCUAUUCAAUGAGGAUCUAGAAGUGGGCCUAAAAAAUGGUAACCCAAUGACACACCAAAUAUACACAGGCCCAAAGGGUUAUAUUUUCCCUCCACCUAUUUUGGGGUUAAAUUACAAUGCGCCUCAUUUAGGUAAAGGUCCUGAAUUUUUUUACCAUGUCCCACCGAUUCCAUAUUCAUAUUCAAAUGAUCCGACAGACAACUAUGAGGAUCAAGCAAAGCCACAGACGUACCUGGAUUAUUUCAGUGAAGAGAAUGCCCAUGGAUGCUUCAUCAUGUGAUGUACUAACAUCAAGACAAUAUCGAAAUCAAGGGCAAGAUAUGGUAAUUUGAAGUCAUGGUUUUAUGUAGUAAAACAGCGGAGGAUGAGUAUAGAUGUACAUGAGUGAGAUCCAAAAUGACAGGAAGGUUAGCAAGUAGAAAAGUUUUGAAGGGCUGGGUGCUUCUAAUUUUUGGUUUAAAAGAACAUUUAGGUUUAUUGUGCUCUCUUUCAAGUGAAACUUUCUGCAAAUUUCUAAUGACACUAACUAGGAGUAAUCUAGAAAAAUUAUUCAAUUUCAAGUUUGUCCCAAAAGUUCAAUGAUUGAACAAUUUUCAGCUUGAGAUAGUUUUUCUAUUUAGAACAAAAGAAUUUAUACUACACCAUGUAAACGGUGUAUACCUAUUCAGCAUUAUGCAUUUGUUUACUUUUACGCUAACAUUCCAUUAUCCACUCAAAUCCUAACUACCCCCAUCUGACAUUGUCGUAUCUGAAGCUAAAGAGAAAAUGGCAGAAUAAGUUAAAAUAGUAUGUAGUUACCAGUCUUCCCAGUUCCCAGUAUCUUGGAUCCAAGCAAUUCAGAAUACAAUAGUAUUAGCAUUCAAGGACCGUUUUCCCCUCUAAUAUUUUGUGCAUCUUGGACCAACCAGCAAGUUAAUUUAAUUUAGUGCCAUUGCCGAGAUGGUGUAAGAAUGUAACAAUAUUUACGUGGUAGAGGAAAGAUACACUGAUCCAUAACUUGGUGAAUAUAUCAAAAUCAAAUGCAGAAUCUAGCAGAUCCUAUAAGAAGUGCACUACUAGCAUUUUCUUAAAGUUAAAAAAAAAUGUGUGAAAAAUCAAACUUGUAAUGUAUGCCUUAUCCAUUUAGCGACAUUUGGCUUGUUGCAUAUUAGAAUAAGCGUAUUUAACUUGAAAAGAGAGAUUGACCACAAUGGAGAAGAAACAAUGAUCUUUGUGAUUAGAAUCUUCAGAGAUAUCAUUCAGACCCUAAGACAGUCCUUUGUGGUUACAUCCAAACUUUUAACUUUUCUUGGAUCUUUCAGCAUUUAUCUCUAAGAAUAAGAGACUUCGCUAUAAUUAAAAUGUAUUUUAUUGUAAAAGUACAAGAACCUGAUCCGAGAACAAGAGGUUCUUUGAUCAGAUUUUGAGCCAAAUAAUGAAAAGAAACAUAAGGACCCUAUCAAAAUCAAUUGUUUCUCACUUAGAUACAUAUAGUAUGAGAACUACCACCACAGGUCUAAGUGCAUAACUACGAAAUAAAAAUGAGCUAAUGCAGGCAAAAACAGCCAAAUUUAAGCUUACAUGCUAGUUGAUGCCCUUGUGGUGCGCUGAUUUGUUCCAAGGAUGAUUAUUAUAACAGUUACAUCAUCAUGAUAUUUCCUUCUCCUGCCGGCUGGAAUGGUAAUUAACUCUUCCUUGCUAAAACCUAUAAAACAUAAGUUCUUUCAUCAUCAGCUCCGAUUGAUUCAAACAGAUAUGAAAAUUUCAAGUUAUAGGCACAAGAUUAGUCUACUUCUGAGGAAAAUACUAAAACACCUCGUUGUCUUAAACAAGUAGUUAUUAUUUAUUUAUUUUUAAUCCUUUUUAUGAAGUAGCUGAUGCGAAGAAAAUAAAACACUAGGAGGGUGUUUGAGUCCCCAACUUCAAGUGGAGUGAGCUAUUAUACACACGUUAACUUCAAGUGAGUUAUUAUACACACGUCAAGUUUUACUAUUUUAAAUCAUUUUUUGUUACAGUGCAUACUAUUUCCUACUUAGACUAAAGUAGCUUACACUUCAAACUCGGACUAGUAUAACCCAGAUACUCUAAUAAACAACCCAACACUCCAAACACCUCCUAAGAUGUGUGGGUUUCAAUAACUACACAAUCUAUUAGAAAACUCAUGUUAAAAAUUAAAUAAAAUUGACAGGUGAAAUAACAUGAGUACAAUUUCUCCAGCCGGCCAAACAGCAGAAUCAAAGGGCAGUGUUUUCACUGAACUUGUACUCAAUGUCAGUAUCCUUAAAUAAUGGCUACUGAUUAGUAUUUUACAAUAUUAAAGAACACCUCUUCAAAAGAUUAUCCUAAGUGAGAACGGAUAAGAGGAUACAAUAUAGAACCGGCAAGGGUACUCUAAUUCUAACCCCAAUUUGUUCCAACAGUAUUAGCCUUUUGGUCGGGAAUUAAAUGAUAGCAAUUGUCUCUUUUUCUUGUACGUUUACUUUGCCAUUAGAUUCUAAGGUUUGUAAUGUUUUAUCUUGUCGCAAGGAAUUGACAAUUCACCUUUUAUUGAAAACUUGAAGGGAAUGCUUAGUUUUAGACACAUAAGAAACUUUUAGCAUAAGAAAAUGAGCAAUAAAACAAAAUGAAAAGUUGACUUCUGCUAACUGCUAAAAACAUCAUAAAUAACUAAGUUCAACACUCUAGCCCGGAGUCAACAUAUGACAUUAAAUGUAAGCUUUAAAGUCGUCUUACUCUUUUCAGUCAUGCAUUCGUGAUAAUAUCAUGCCAAAGAUAAGUUAAUAAAUAUUUCACACAAAACGAUUUAGAUUUCACCUGCACAAUUAGCUGCUUUCAACAGAAGCUGCUCCAGUAAAAAUUUUGCAGGAUCACCAGUUGGGUUGCUCAAGAUAUACGAAUGGACAAGGUUCACUGCCUCCUCAUUGCCAAAAAAGUCAAAUAAACCAUCACUUCCAACUAUAACAAAGCAAUCUGAUUUUGAUAUCCUAUGGAUAGACAAUGCUGGUUGAGUGGAAAUAUAGGGAGGGCUUAUUAGGUUACGAACUCGAAGAAUACCCAUCAAAGCAUCAUUAAAUUUUUUCUGCAGAGAAAAUAAAUGCAUAAUAAUCAAACUUAUGAUGGACUAAAAUAAUUUCCAGAAUGCAGAUGACGUUACCUGGUUCACUCAGAAAUGAAUACCAUUUUUAGCAUUGAUACCACAUCAACUUUGUCCUGAAAAUUCAUGUCCUAUAUAUAAUAAAAGUGAUCAUGCAUAUUGAUUUUUCUGUCCUGAGCUGAUAUGGAUUUUACCAAGGUCAGGUGAGGUCCGAAGUAACAGGAGAAGAAAAGAUAGAAUCCUUACAAGUACGGGAUGGGGUGGUGGAUUCAAAUACAGAACGUACAUACAUGGUUAAGACAUAGCUAUAGUAAAAUAUCACGUAGGUAUUAUCAAUUAGCAUGAAGACUUAGUCAGCAACCAAAAAUUCUAUUUUGUUUAGCAACUUGCAUCCUUUUUCUUCUUUCUUUUCUUUUUUUUUUAAUAGGAACAACCUGCAUCAUUAUUAGCAUUUUAAAACAGUGCCUCUACUCUAUUUAUUAAAUUUCUAUACACUGCACAAACAGAGAAAUGAUAUUGUGUUAUAUGAGAAUAUGGCCAUACUGGCAGGCACGCAAUCAAUAACUGUCGCGUACCGUCUUCAAGUAGCCAACUCCAAAAGCACGAGUCACCUUCAGUUUUCCUUUGACUUUGCCACCAACGAUUAUUGUCGGAUCAUCGGGAUGAUCAUGUUGUAACUGAGCUCUUUCAAGUUCAUUAUCCACAGUGUGACUCUCAGUGAGCUGGACAGCUUUCAGACCCCUAUUCCUUCUCAUAGAACCUUCAUCAAGGGUAGCUAGUACUGCUCUACUAUCACCCAAAUUUAGCGUGUACAAAUCCUUUCCAUGAAGAAGAACAACUAAAACACAUGACCCAACAGAAACUAAAUCAGGGCGGUCCUCCAUUUCCUGUUCUACCAUGUGCAGAAAAUCAUUCUCUGUUUGACUAAGAGCACGCUGGAGGCUAUCGAACACCCCAUGCCUUAGAGGGUAGUUUUUCAUUCCUGCUUUGGCAUAUGAAUGGUUCUCUAACACAUUGUGGAUAUCUGAAGAAAUUUUACUAUUGUUUCCCAUAGGAGAAAAUCUUCCUUGAGUAAUGUUACUAUCAUCAAGAAGAUGUGAACCAUGCAUGUCUAAACCGUCAGAGGUUUCAUUCUUGGCUUCCCAAUCUAGUAGAUUAAAAUAAAAUACAAUAGUUUCAUACAAUGUGCCAGCAAGAAAAUCAGCAGCAUCUCUUCCGUUAAAACCAUCAUAAAUUGCACAAAAUAGCCAUCCAUUUUCUUCAGAACAAACAGCUUGGACCCUGUCCUCACCAGCAGCUCCACCUGCCACUUGCACUUCCUUAACAUUAAGGAAACCUUCACCUCCAGAUGGAGAACUCAUGGAUUUCAACAAGUAUGAAUCAUAAUCAGAGGUCGGGGUAGAUGGACUGCAACUUAAGUUUGACAGACUACUCUGCAGAGACGUUGACAGUAUAUCCAACCUUGAAAGAGUAGGCGAUGAGGGAACCUUACGGAAGGAGUUAGGAGAAUCCCAGGUUGGCAGAAUUUCUUCUCCUAUCAACCCAUUGCAUAUAUUUGUGUUCGCUAGGGUGGCAUUCGCACUCAAGGCAGCCCCAGAUAAGCAAGAGAAACUGCUCACCCUUUGAAGUCCAGACUGAAUCUCCAACUUGUCAGAAACAUCAUGAAUUUCACCUAUGUUGCCAUUGCAUUUAUAACCGAAGCUAACUUCAAGUUCUCCCUCGGGUUUUGUUGAAGCUUCUUGAAGCAUACUAUAUGACUGUUACAACAAAUACAUUCAUUUUUAAUGCACUUUCUUAAUAAAAAUGGCAAAUUUAAGUUAGUUAGAUUUGAAAGGUCAAACUCGAUUGUCUUUUCUAUAGCACCAAAUAAAUCCAGGCAUACACAUACUUGAAAUUUAGACUUCUAAACAGUGAAAAAUGGUGGGGGAAGCUCUAUGAUGUUGUAAGGUCUUAAACUCAGUAUGUAUAAUAUCAAUCAAUUAGCUUGAUGUUCAUUAUCUUUAACAAACAUGGGGUUGAUCUACAUCAUCUGUUGUGGGGAUACCAGUUUUCUUAUUCCCUUUAGAGUAAGGUUUAAUUUGUCCAGAGUGUAACAAGCAUUGUUGCUCUGUGAUAGUGAUUGAGGUGACACUGAAGAACUCUCCUUUUCAGGAUAAAGGGAGAUAGAAAACCCUGUGGUAAGGCUUGUUGUUUGCUAUCAUAUGUGAAGUGUGGUAGGACUUAGAGAAGUCGAGAGGUUUUUAGAGGAGAUUGGGGAGGGCGUGCAAAGUUUAAUGUGUCCUUAAGGACAUCCUUUUAUUGUAAUUACUAAUUAUCCUUUGGGUAUCAUUCUUUAUGAAUACGAGUUCUUUCUUGUAGCUCAAGACUCCUUUCCCUUUGAGGGCUUUUUUUUUUUCAACACCCUAGUACAUGCUUUCAUUUUUUCUUAAUGAAAGCUUAAUCCUUAAAAUGAAAAAUCCAUCAAUUGGCUGAAAAUUGCAGUAUGCAUUCUUGCUAUCCUAUUCAACUUAUAGAAAACAAAAAUCCACACAGUACUUUCCACCGACUCCCCUACAAAUUGAAUUUCCCGAUAUGAAUUUAACUAAACCUAGUUGUGGUUACUCAAAUAUCCUUUUCACCUUACAUAACCUUUCCUUUCCUAUCCUUUUCACAAACUAAACCCACCCAUGCAAAGAAAAACCAAACAGUAAAACAAUAGCACAAUUGCAGUUCCAUAAACUACACAAACAACAAAAACAACUAAAUACCAAGUGCCAACUAUUUCAGUAACAAACCAGAAACAAAAAAGUCACGACAACAAUGACAACUAAACUCUUAACUUCAAUGACACUCAUUUAAAGAAAGAAAGAAAAAAAAAAACGAAUUAAACACAAACUAGAAAUCCCAAAAUCAAACACAACCUAUAUAUUGACCAUCAAACGAUCAUAAAACAGAUAAUCAAGAAAACAACCCAUUUCAAAGAAGAAAGGCCAGAUGAGAAAAAGAGGGUAGGCAGCGAAGUAAGAACAAAAAGUAACCUAACAGAAGACGUCAGAAAACCCAGAAAACCCAGUAAACGUAUGCUGCAAUAAAUUAGAGAAAAGAAAAGAAAAGGAGAGUUGGAAAUAAAGAAUGGUAAAAGCCGCCAGAAUUGGUACCGAUUACUGAAAGAACAUAAUGAAGCAGAGAAAGGAAGAAAGAGAGAAAAGGUGGAGACAAGAGAGAGAAAGAGAAGGAGAAACAAACCAGAGAGGGUGCUGAGGAUGAGGAAGGAAGUAAAGGGAAUGGUGAUGAAGAGAAGAAGAAUGCAUAUGGAGAAGAAGAGAAGAGUGAAAGCAAAGAGAAGAGAAAAUGGAGAAUCUGUGUAUGUGAGUGGUACGUUAAAGGCGAAGGGGGUAUUGGAUGGACAGGAAGACGCUCUCCUAAAUUUAGAGAAUUUUUUUUGGUUACCAAUUUUUGCUUAUUCAAUGUUUAGCUUUUAGUUAAAUUUUAAAUCAAAGAACUUCCUUAUUAAUAAAUAAUUAAUUGAUACAACCUUGCUUUUUAUUAAUUGUUUUCUUCCUUAAAUUAUCAUCUACUUUCUUUUUAACUCAUUCUUGUUUUCUUUUUAUAGUGUGUUGCCCCAACUUGCCUUCUAUGGACAUGUACUCCUCAUCUUUGUUCUUUAUUUGUUUCACUCUUUUGUAAUUAUCAUCACUCUUCUUCUUCUCAUUUCUAACCCUACACAUGUUCAAAACAAACUCCUUUUUGUUUUUAAAAAUUACCUACAUCAAACCUCUUCUUACUUUGUUUAAUAAUCCUUUUUUCUAAAUAAUUUUGUAAACACUUCAUUCUUUUUUUAAAUCCACUUUUCCUCCGACUAAAAUGUUUUAGAUGUGUCUAAACGAGUCCCAAACACUCACAUAUUUAAAAAAAUAUGAAAAUUAAGCAUAGUUUGAUAAUUAUUUGUUUUCUUUCUUUAUUUAUUUCAAUAAUGUAUAAUUCCUUUUAAAAUUUCAUUGCUACUUUUUAUAUUUAUAGUGUUUUAAAAAACAACCUGAAUAUUUGAAUAAUAAAUAUCAAUAACAACCACGUCCAUACACUAUAUUUUAGUUAUUUUAUUUCAUUUCAUUUAGAAAGUUGAAUAUUUGUAAUUAUCAAGCUUAGAAUUCUAAUAGAGUAGAAAGGAGAUAAAAUAUUUAUUUGCAAUCAUCUUUGUAAUUGACGUUUAUAAAAAAACAGUCAUCUAAUAUAGUUGGCCCGUGAGUGUCUGAUAUAUAUUCCUCGUGAAUAUCUUACAUUAAUCUUAAUUGUAUUUGCCUCUUAAAUCAAUUUGGUGCAGUGAUGAUGCAAACAAAUGACAUCUCAAUCAGGCACCAACACCAUAAUAUUAGGCGUAUAGUGUUUAUAGUGUCCAAUUAAUUUGUUAAAAAAGAAAAUAAAAACAAAAAUAUGUCCACCAGUUGAUCAAAUAUUUGUCGAUGUGUCAACCAUAUAUUUACUAAUUGUUCAAAUGCAAGUAGAACAUCACUUCAUCUAAUGGGUAAAAAUAAUACUAACAAUGCGAGAAAAAAAAUAAUACAUGCAACUCAAGCAAUGGACUUGAGUCAAUGAAUGGUGACGAUGAAAGAUUUUAUAUUGAUAAUUAGUAAAAUUGACACAAUAUUAAGAUUUUAUAUUGAUAAUUUUAUAUGGUGACGAGAAUCGUUAAAAUAGUAAAAUUGACAAAAUUUUUACACGGUAUACUUUUGCAAAACAUGAACGUAGUAAGUAAAACAAUUUUAUAUUUUAUAAAUGCAUGGUAUUUUUUUGUAUGGAUUAAAAUCAUGUGUAUUAAUUUUAAAUCAAAUAUUGAAGUGCAUGUCCUAAAAUACUAAAACCGUAAAAUGCAUCAUUGUGUUUUCUUGGAUUAUUCCACUGUUUUCAAAUAUCACUCACCAAGCAAUAGCCUAAUAUCUCUGCCACAUUUAAUUCGUCUCAUUAGGUAUAAACAAAAUCCCACACAAACUAAAGAAUACUAUCAAUAUUAUGAUAUGUAUAAUGAACGAUUAACUUCGUACUAUUUAAGACUAAGAUGAUAUGUAUUUUGUGACAUCAGAUUUUAACAAAAACCCAAGAUGAUUAUAUUUUGAUUAACAUCGAUAAGAGUUGGAAUGAGAACUAAAAAAGAAAUGUGAUUAAGUUCCCAAUGAUUGAGUGUGGUGAAGUCAUGUGCCAAAAUGAACAAUAUGACUUUGUUUUUUCUUCUCGAUUUUGUCUUUUUGGUUAGAGAAAGGACACAAUAAAAAAAUCCUAAGCAAUAAUGAUAAUAAUAAUAAUAAUAAUAACACUUCUCAAGGGUUCAAAUUUCCCAAACCCUAAUAACUUUUCUUAGAAAAUUACGAAAUAUAUAUAUAUAUUCUUAUUGAAGUAUAAGUAAGCACAAACUCAUUAAUACAUGGAUUAAACUUAUUAAUUAGGAAAACUAUAGACACAAAAAAUAAUUAAUAAUAGAAAAUGUCAAAUUAGUUUGAUAUUGGCCCACUGAAACUUCAAAAUGAUUUUGAAGCUUGGAGGAGCCAAGAUUGGAAUAUUUGGUAUAUGGCUUUUCAGCCACUGAAAGAACCAAUAUAUGAAUUAUAUAUUAACUAUUACAUGUGAAACCAAAAACGUGACAUAAAAACUAGAUAAUGAUAAUGAUAAAAUUGUAAGAAUGAAAGAAAGUAAAACAAAAACUUGAGGCUUUUAUCAAAUCAAAUGCAUCCAUCAUGAACAUGAAAACACAUAUCAUUUUCUUUAUAUUCUCCUCCACCCUAAAUUAUUAUUAUUUUAUAACAAAUCAUAAUGGAGGAUUUGAUUUCAAGUUCAAAGAAAAGAAACAUGGGAUUCGCUAAUUUUUGUGUACAUAUCAAAUGAAAAAUAUUUUAGAUGUUGUUCACAUUGGUUCUUUGCUUUUUGAUUACUUGCGAGUGGAUUUUCCAAGUUAGUUUUAUGAUUGAAUAAAACUCAAAGUCAUUCUUUUUACUAUAUAACACUCCCAUUUGUUGGGUUUAAACAAUUUUUAGACUAUGAUUUUAAACCUUUCACUGAAUUUCCAACUUGAUUUCAGGUAAGAAUGGAAAUGAAUGGAUGAAAUUUAAAAUAGGUGUUUCUCUCUAAUCAGAAGAACCCAAUGUUAUAGGAAUGUUCAAACCUUUCAAUAUUUACAAAAAAAGUUGGUGUGAAAUAAUUAGUAUCUUUCAUAUAAUAUGUCAAAUUACAAUAUAUUUUUGUCUCUAUUAUUUUAAAAAUUAACUGAAAAUAAUUAAUGUAGUCAAUUGAUAGUUUAAAAACAAAAUUAAGCCAGACUUUUAUAGAUAAUAAUUAUAAAAAGAAAUUAUUAUUUAAAAAACAAUAAGGAAACAAACAAAAAUUGGAUUUAUAUUUUUUGCACCCAAAAAUAAAAUUUGAAAAAGAAAUAAUAUGUUUAAGAUCUCCCAACCAUUUUUUUUUUAAAGGAAGCACUUGUAUGGUGUUCUCAAACUUGGCAAAUUCAAAAUAAAUUACCUAAUAAAAACAUUCAAAAGUUCUAAAUUAAUAAGUAGUGAAAAUCCAUGAACAAGAAAAAAAACAAAAACAAAAAUAUUUGAGGCAUUUAUUAAAAUAUAUGGUAAAGUUGAAUCCAUGUGACAUAAUUGUAUCAAAGAUUAGAUUUGCAUUUAACAACUAGUAAUAGAAAUUAGAAAGUGAUGCUAGGUUUUAUGCUUACGAAAGCAGACAAAUACAUGUUCAAAGAUACUAGAGUUCCACACGCAACUCCAUUAUUUAACAUUCUCAAUCACAUCUCUCACUUUUAUUUUUUCUUUUCUAAAUCACGCUUCAGUUCCCAAGUACUAUACACAAAAUGCAAUUGAGAUGCAAGUUUAAGUUUAGAUAUGCAGUUCAAAUGUUAUCUAUGGUUAAUACUAUGAUUAAAUGUUAAGGACCAUGGUUAAAUAUUCAUGUAAUGUCAAAAGUUGCAAUAUCAUGAACAUUUCCAACUUCUUAAAAUGUUGAAGAAAGAAUCCAAAUAUGCAUUAUAAUUACCACUCAAAUAAGUUUAGGAAUAAGGUUACGAAUAUUAAAGGCGUUAGUAAUUAGUUGAGGGAGAGGAAUGGAGUAGAAAAGCAAGAUAUGGUGAGUGAAUUAGGGCUCGAGAGUUGUCUCAAAAUUGAGAGACUCAAUAUUUUUAAUGGAAAAUGAACUUCAACGUAUUUCAUUCAACUUAGUUUUGGUCCUCCUUUGACUCAUCAUUGCUUGUCCAGACUCAAUGAAGUUGAGUUUGCAUUUAAAGAAACUAACGAGUUUAAAUUGUCAAAAGAAACUACUUAACUACGAGUGGUUCAAAAAAUCUUAAAAGUGUAUCUCUAUACUUGAAAACUUUGAUAUAGAGAUGAACCAGAACUGCACAAUCAUCUAUUGUUGACGCACUUCAACUUUCUUCUUCUGCCAGAGGCGAUCCAGUGCACUGUCAGCAUCUCCCUACAAAGAAUAUAAGAAAGCACCAUGAGUACAUCAAGAUCACCAUAGAUAGAGAACUUGAAAGCUGAGGAUUAAGACAAACAUCCAUGAGGCCAGACAAUACAAUGGAAUAUGUAAAACCCAGUCAAGUAGGUGAAAUAUUCAAGCAACAGCAAAAGACAUGCUUCAAGCUAUGAUAGGAAACAUCAAAUCAUAUCAACUGAAGCCUCAAACAUCCCCAUCAGGCCAGAUUCCAAAGCAUGGAGAUUGAACUAUACAGCAAGAUUCUAGACAGCUACAUGGCCAAAAUCAGCAGCAUCAACACCACAGUGAAAAGAACAGGAAAAUUUUGUACGGCUUCAACUCAGAUUCCAGAGUAUGAGGAAAGAAAUAACAAGAUAAUGGAUUAUGGACAUGAAAAUUUUGUACACUACAAUGACUUCUAUCACCCUUCAAAGUGAAGUUAGAAGACAAAGGCAAAUGGCAAAGGUCUUUCAAGACUCAUUUCGAGGCUUCUACCCUUCCUUCACACUCUUUCAUUUCCCAUCAGUGAAUUUCUAUAUUGCCUAUAGUCUGUACUUUAGCUAUGUUUGAGAUUUCUUUUCUAGGCAGGCCAUGCUUUAGUAUUAAACUCUUGAUUAUAAAUCUACAAUGGCUUCUUCCACCAUUCAAGAGAAAGCAAGAGGGCAGAGGCAGGAGGAGAAACCCUUUGGAGACUCAUUUAUGCAAACUUCUACCCUUUCUUAUCAUUUUCUUUCACUUCCAAGUUUCAUCUAGUACUUUUCAAUUACUGUCUAUAGAUUGUAGUUUAUAAAUGUUUAAGAUUUCUUUCGUAAGGCUAUGAUUUAGUCCAACUCUAAAUUUAUCAUAUUCUUUAUUUUAUUAGUCGUGAUUAGUUUCAAUUAACUACAGUCUACAGCCGUCCAUAAAACGGUGCUUCAUAAUAUAUCAGGCAACAGGAAUCACAGAAGAUUGAAUUAACCUGUUUGUUAUUAUAUAUAAAAACACAGCCAGUAGCCAGCAGAGAAUCAAAUGGCCAAGAAGAAUAAGUCAUUCUCAAAUGCACCCCCUUUACUAGAAGAACUAAAGUCAAAUACCGACGGAAUCAAUCAUAACCAAGUUCAAUGCAUCGUUCUUAAACCACGCUUUCUACGCAACAAAGAGCAUAAAAAUUAGUUUUAAGUGUGCAACAAGACAGAGUAAAUAUAAAAUGCCUCGUUCCAAGUCAAUGCUCAAAUAUAUCACAUAUUAAAAACUGCAUCCUCUCGGUACAAACCCAACAACAAGGAGAGAAAUAGAGGGGAAGGACAAUCACCUGGGCCCGAAUGAAACCACAGAGAGCAAAAGUAGAAAAUUGCCCAGUGUAGAUGCCAUUCUCAUCCAAAUGCCCAAUGUUGAUCUGAACAGAAGCAUGGUCCUUGGAAGUAAUCAGGCGAUUCGUUGCGGAGCUGCAUCAACGACACAAUAACCCAUGAAAAAGUUCAACCCACAUGAAAGUUAGUGACAGAAUCAUCGAAGUGAGACAAAUAAUAGUUGUAUUACGAACCAUUUUCUGGGAAUAUAAAGCUCUGUGAUUUUACCCUCUUCGUUCUGCAUCUUGAUAAGUGAAUGAAACCUAAAUUUUGGAAUCAGAUUAGCGAACAAAAAUGUGAAUGAGAUUGAAGAAGUAAAAGAGCAAAUGACUCUUAAGGGUACAGAGAGAGAACAAACCGCAAGCACAACAGAGGAAACGAACUAUCCGAAAGGGAGAAAGAGGCGUGGUGAAGAAACCCUAAAAUUUAGAAGACAAACCCUAAGCCUAAAUAUAUCUUUGGAUUAUUUGCAUAUUUUAACUUUAAAAAAAUAAUAUUGAUUUCAUUGAAUAUUAUCAAAUAUCAAUUUAUAAAAUACACUUUUCAACAUCAUUUGGACCAUAACUAUCCUAAGAUGUAAUAAUCACAUAUUGCUUUACAUUUUUCAAAUUUCAAUUCCUAUACUUUUGAUAAAUCAUAAUUUAGUCCUUCUUAUUUAUGGUUCGUUUUUCUUUUCUUUUUCUUUCUUAUCAUCACUAUAAUUUUGAAAAUAUAUAUUAACAUAUUAUAUUUUUUCCAUUCAAGUUAUUGUAAUUAUUUUACAGGUUUUUAAUUUUAGAAAAAUUAUCUUUUGAGAAACUAUAUUGAAAAUUUGUUAAAAGAAUAAUAUGAAUUUCAAAAUAAUAUUUAAAGUAUACGAAACUAACAUUUAACCUAGUUUUCUUAUCUAAUUAUUAUUGUUAUUUAAAAAAUAACUUAUUACUAUGGUUCUUAUUAUAUAAAAAAUAAGAAAAACAGAAAAAUAAGAAGAAAAAAACCAUCAGUAAAACAGAUUUGAGUUUUUUCAAAAAUAGAAAAAUCGGACCAACUAUUUACAACAAAAUCAGACUAUAUUUUUAACACAUUUUAAUAGAAAAUUACCUAUAUAAAAAAUAAAACUAAAAUAACUAGUAAAAGAUAAAUUGGUUUAAUUUCUUUUACUUACAAAUUUCGAUAAAAUAUUUAAUUCAUAUAAUUGUACGAAGACGAGCAUAACUAAUUUACAUAUGAACACAAAUUAGAUCCAAAAUUUCAUGUUAAAUGCAUUACUUUAUAUGAAGAUAAAUUUUUCGCUCUACAUUUGUAUCAUAUAUGUAUAUAUACUUCUUGAACUUUAAAAAGCAUUCAUAAGAUAUAUUACAUAUGGAUUUAUGUAUCUAAUAUGCAUAUUAUGCAUUUUUCCAUUGGCUAUAAAAGUUUGAUAUGAUACAAAGGGUAAUUUUUAAGCAUUUUUAUAUUUAUGAUAUUUCAUGAUAAUAUUAAAAGUUUAUACAUCUAUUAAGCAUUUUAAAACGAUUUAUUAGGACUAAAAUCAAAGGUUAUAUUUGUUAAUUUUAAAAAUGAAUGAUUGAAUUUAUAAAUUUAAAACAAAAUUUUAGAUGUGAAAUAGUGUUUAUUUUGAGUAUGAAAUUUCGUCUCUACGAAGAAAGAUGUAUUUUGAAGUAAAUAGUAAAAUUUUUCAAGUACCGUUUUGUAACAAUCAUGUUUCCAUUAACGAAGCUACAGGAGAUGUUGGCCAAACUUAUAUACAUCUUUUAAUUCAUACCAUAUUCUCUCCAAAGGAAAGGAUCUCAUGCCUUGUGAUUAGCAAUUUAUGGACAAAAAAAUGAAAUUAGAAGUCAAUUAAAUGGAGAAAAGAGCUAUAAGAAAGAGUCGAUUAAAUGGAGGCAAUUAUAUGAGGGAAAAUAGAGACGUUGGAAAACAAGGAAAAGAAACUGAGACUCGUUAUAUACAAAAGUAUCAAGAGGAAAGAGCUAAAAAACAAAAUCGUCAGACGUUUUGUGGAACGUGUUUUCUUCGAUUUUCUGUAUUACUGAUUAACUGAAUUUUAUCAUCUCAAGUACAAUAAGAUUUAAUUGAAAUCGCUAUACUUUUUUCAAGUUAUCUAUAUUUAUUAUGCUAUAAAUUUAAUAAACUUCAAGAUAUUGUGAUCGAUAUUUGUACUUUACUAAUAUAAAUAUAAUCUAAAAUAUCACGUUUGUACUAUACUUUGAAAUUUUACUCUCUCAUCCUUGUCUACCGUUCACUUUCUAAUUUCUGUUAAUACUGACAUUUUUAAUAAAAGUUUUGAAAAAAUGUAAAUAUAUUCGUAUUUUUAUAGAUUAGGAUAAAUUAAACAUAUUUAAUCGUGGAGGUACAAAAAUUGAACAUAAUACUAAUAAUAACAUUAGUUACAUUACUAUAAUGAUUAAAGAUCGGAAAUAUUUUGUUUUGAUAAAAUGGUGAAGAAAGACAAACCAAACAAUUGUUAAAAAAAUAAAAGAGAGAAGCAUUGCAAAGUGACAAAAAGACCUAAUAGCUUUUCAAAGAAUUGUGAUAUAAAAGAAGUGUUGGUUUUGUAUAUAAACAACAAACAAAAUCAUUUUAUUUACAUUUUACAAACUCUUUUAAGUUUCAAUUUUAGAAAUAAUCUUCAAAGCAAGAUAUGAUGCAAUAAAAGGGAAAUACCAAAUUAGUCCCCACUUAAAGUUGACUGAAUUGAAAAUACGAGAAUGUUUAAGGGUGUAAAUGAAAAGGAAUUUAAAACAGAGGACUAAAGUGUAAGGCUAGAAUAUUAUGAGUUCUUGGAAGAAGAAGAAAUUUCGCCAUGCAGAUGCAACGGAAGGUCCUUAAGAAAUAAACACCUGAAUUUUCUCCGUAACGUUCAAUCUUCCUUUUAAUAUCUCAAAUUUCAUUCCCGUUUUUCGCCCUAAUUUUUCCAAUUCCCUCUUUUCAUAAUCUCCCAAUCCUCUCUUCCUCUCUCUCUCUCAAAUUAACAAUGCCUUCUUCCAAUCCUCCGUUCAAAUCCCGACCAGAAUCCAAAUACACCAAGGCCAAGAGAGCUCUCCGUUCUCUCGCCGUCUCCGUCGCCAUUCCUGUUUCCCUCACAAUCGCCGCCAUCUUCCUCUUUGGCCGCUCCUCUCGCCAUUACCCCAACCGUAACCGCCCGAUUUGGAUAGGCCCACUCUGGCUCAUCCAGCUUUCCUCCAUUGGCUCCUCCUUUCUGGUUGGCCUCGCAGCUUGGCUCGUUUGGGCGGACGGUGGUUUCCAUGGCGGUUCCAAUGCUCUUCCGCUCUACAUCGCGCACCUUUCUCUCAGCGUCGUUUGGAAUCCUCUGGUGCUUGUGAUUCGGUCUGUGGUGAUUGCGUUUUUGUUCUGUGUUUUGGAUUGUGUGACCCUGUUUGCGUGUUAUCUGGCGUUCAAGCGAGUUAAUCCUUUCGCUAAGGAUCUGAUGAAGCCUUGUUUGGCUUGGACUGCGUAUCUCUCUGCUGUUACGUAUGUGUUCAUUGAUCUUUGAUUGAGGUUUUUGAUCAUUUGGUGAUUUUUGAAAAGAUUUGUUUAUCACAUUGUUUUUUUUUUUUUUUUACUAGGACGUUGUAGAACUUUUUAUCACAGUACAAAGAAAUUGUUAGGAGAUGAUUGAAAGGAAAGUUUGUAGAAUUAGUGGUAUAAUUAUUUCGGUUCAUGCGUUCUUGAUCGAACCGUAGGAGAUUUUUAUGAUGAAUUUCUUGUUUCUUAUUUGACAGCGAUCUCGAUUUCAUGUUUACUUUUUACUUCAUAGUCUAUUUUAUACAUACGUUUUGUUCAGUUUUAAUGCGUAUAUUUUGAACGUCCAAUCAAAAUUGGCUAAAUAAUUGUAAUAAUCAACUGAUGAAGGGAUUAAAUCAAGAUUUAUUGAAAAACACAUCACCCUUUGUAGUAAUCUAAUGAUUUGAAGAUAAUUUGAGUUAAGAAGAUCGUUUUUUUUUAAAGUAAAAAAUAAAACUAACUUAUUUUUUUAUCUAACAAAUAUUUUUUUAAAAAAUGUUUAUAGGAAGAUCACUCUCAACAAUAUUUCAUGAAAAAUAUUAUCAUCAAACUUCCAAACAAUAUUUCAUUAAAAAUAUAUUAAUCUUUAUUUAUUAUUCCUUUAAUUUAUGCAAAUUUUAAAUCCAAUAUUUACAUUACAAAAAAAUGAUCACGUGGAAACUGUCGUUUCCUUAUUACUAUGUCAAUGUUAUUGGAGCAUGAAAUGUUGUUUAUUAUACAGUGUCAGAUAACUCUAUAUAAAAAAUUUUAAUCCUACUUUUCUUUCACACCAUUAAACAUUCUUUUUGUAAUUUUGUUUACAAAAUUAUUUAAUUUGUGCUACUUAUUUUCUAUAUUAAGAAUAUCUUACAACAAUCCCUAAUCGAAAUAACAAAUUAAUUUGUAAAUAUUUUAAAUUAUUGUGUUACUUUUAAAAAUAUUCCUAAUCCAAAUCUAGCUAUUUAAACUCAUGUAUCCUAAUCCUUUACACAUUUUACUUUCUAUGUUGGACACUUUUAUAUAUUGCAAUUUGGUUCCUAAUUUCAAAAUCGUAUUUAUUUGAUUCAUAGACAAUAAAAAAUAAAAAAUAAAUAAUAGUUAAUAGUUUUAACUUUCAAUUCAAUGCUAAUACAUCCUCUUAUGUCGAUGAUAUAUAGAGAUCUUUUUUCUUUUUGUUAUAUUUUAUGAUGCCUUUGAAAACAUGUAUAUUGAAGAAAUUAAACAGUAUAAAUUUCAUAAAACUUCGUUGCUAAAACUAAUCAAACGAUUGUUUUUUGUUCAUAUUUAUAUCAAACUAACACUAUUUUUACCUCACAUUUCUUCCAAAAGCUAUUAGGUUUUGUCUCUGUAGUUAGAAAUGCUUCUCUUAGUCAUCUUCCAUUUUUUGUUUUGUUUGACAUUACGUUUCUUAUUUUUGUCGUUGUUUUUCAUAGAUGAAAUUUCACAAAUUUGUGAUUCUUUCAUCUUCGAAAGCUUGCUCUUAAUGGUAUUAUAUAUCUACAUUCAAAUCUCUAUUUCUCAUCACUCACAGAAUAAACCCCACAAAGUACUGUAUGACGACUUUGUUUUCAAGCUAUUUCCUUUUUACAAUUUUGUAUAUAACAAGCCUCAAUUUCUCUUGCCUUCUUUUCCAGCGCUUCUAUCUUUGCCUCAUAUAAUUCCCUUCAUUCAAACGAACUUUUCUUACGUUGCAUCCUCUCAAUCACAUAAUUAAAAUCAUUGAUCUUACCAAACUUUUUUCAUAGAAAUUUUUUAACAAAUUGUUAGUCACACACAUUAUAUCCCUUUUUUUGGAAGAUUUUUUAACAAUAGGGGAUAAUAGACUCAAAAAGAUGUAUAUCAGAUUGGCCAACAUCUCCCAGAAAAUUGAGAUUAGGUAUAGCUUCGUUAAUGGAAAUAUGAUUAUUAUUAAAAAAGGAUUGAGAUAUUUUACUUACUCACAUCUUUCUUUACUUUGGUAGAGAUGGAAAACUGUUCUUACGAAAGGGAAGAGAAAGAGUGCUGAUUGAAAGGCUUUUUCUUUUGUUAGUGUUAGGAUUGUUCAAUUUUAUUAUUUUUAUACCUCACCAUUUAAAUGUUUGAUUUUAUCAUUAAUUACUCUUGAAAAUAUAAUAUAUUUCUAUGCAGUGAAAAUUAGAGAGGAUCGUUGGUUCAAUUUGGUUGGUUUUGGAGUCUACCAAGAACAAAACAAUCGGUUUUACAAAAAAACCAAUAGAUUGGUUUAUUAUUGGUUUGGUUUUCGGUUUUUAAUACUUCCUCUUUUUUCUUUUGAUUUUUUAUUCUUACAUUCUGAUUUUUUUUUUAGUACUUUUCUAAAUAAAGAAUAGGUGCGUAACAUAAUAGUUAGUCUUUUUUUUUUCUUUAUAAACAACAAAUAUACAUGUACCAUAACAAUUAUAAUACAAAAAGAUACCAAGUGAAGAAUUUGUUUUUAGAGAUAUAUAUAUAUCUAUACCAUUUGGUUUUCAUUGGUUUUUUCAACCAAAAUUUGAUUUGAACCAAUAAUUUUUGUUUUUUCUAUGGAUACAAAUCAAGAGAUCCAAUUUGAUAUUAAAAAACAAAACCAAACAAUUGGAUCCGUUUGGAUUGAUUUGGUUUUUCGAUUAUUUGUAUCACACCCAAUAAAAAUGUAAUUAAAUUAAAAAUAUCAAUACAAUUUGAAGAGUAAUUGAAUAAGUAUUACGAAGAGUUUAGUAUUAAAGAUAAAUGAAAGUGUUUAAAAAGAAAUGGUUUACCCAAAACAUUUUUAUUAAAAUCAAUAUAAAAAAGAAAAAGAAAAAGAAAUAUAAUAAAUAAAAUUGGACAAAUGGAGAGUUUGAAGGCAAUGGAAUGGUAAUGAAGUGGGGAUGGGUAAUGUAAAGUAUAAAUGAGGUUAAUAAAGAUAUUAGGUGCCAAAUGCCGCGUUAAUACACUACAUUGACUCUUGACUUCCUUGGUUGGAUCCACGUUUUUAUAGCCUCACUAUUCAUUAACCUUCUAAUUAAUUUCCCAUAAUUCAAAUCAUAUCAAGUUUUUAUAACCAUAUAAAAUCCCCUCAUGUGGGCCCAUUAACCACAUGCUAUGUUUCUUCUACUUCUUUAUUAUUAUUAUUAUCUGCUUUUUUUAAGAUGUAAAAAUGUUUUAGGAGUUAAUAUAUAUCACUCUAUAAUCUUUUUUAAUUUAAUAAUUAUUAUGAUAAUCAAAUUAAGUUAGCAUAGUAUUUUUUUUUUUUUGGGGGGGGGGGGGGGGGGGGGGUUAUAUUUUUAAGACUUUUAGAAAAGAAAAAAUAUAAGAAAAGAAUAGUCCAUUGAUUAAUGACGUAAAGGAAGAAAUGAUAACUAAAAAAAGAAAAGGAAAGAGAAAAUAAUGAUAAAAAUAAUAAAAGUGGGUCCCAGUUCCUAAUAGGAAAAAUGGUUAAAUAAAAAGGAGAAGAAAAAAAGAAAAAAAGAAAAAAAAGGAAAAUUGUCCGAAGCGCUUUCUUUGUAAAUCGCUUAAUUGCUCUGUUUUCUCUUUAGGAUCCCUUCUCUCUUCCACCGACUCCGAAAAACCCUCUUCUCUGUCGAUUCCACCGUCACAGAUCCAAAUCUAAAUCCCCAAUUCCCAAUUCCUCCAUUGUUAUUCCCUUUUUCUCAUUUACAUAUUUUUCAAGGCUCUCUGCCCUCGCUGCACGAGGAGUUUCACAAUCAUGAUUGAGCGCAUUCUCGGACCCACCCGCUUCCGCCGCAUCCAGCGUGCCUUCCGCCACAGCGCUGUCACCGUUCUAUGUCUCUUCUUAACCGUCGUUGUCCUCCGUGGCACUGUCGGCGCUGGUAAGUUCGGUACUCCCGAGCAGGACUUCAACGAGAUCCGUUCCCAUUUCUCCUCUCGUGGCCGCCGAGUCGAGCCUCGCCGUGUUCUUGAAGAGGCUCAGCCGGAGACUACCAACAAGCCGGCGGAGCAGUCCAAUAAUUAUGCUACAUUCGAUAUUUCGAAGAUUUUGGUGGAUGAAGGUGAGGAUGAGAAGCCCGAUCCGAAUAAACCCUUUAGUCUUGGCCCUAAAAUUUCUGAUUGGGAUCAACAGCGAGGUGAAUGGUUGAAGAACAACCCUGAUUUUCCUAAUUUCAUUCGACCUAAUAAGCCUAGAGUUCUUUUGGUUACUGGAUCCUCCCCAAAGCCUUGUGAGAAUCCUGUCGGUGAUCAUUACCUUUUGAAAUCGAUUAAGAACAAGAUCGAUUACUGUAGGCUUCAUGGGAUUGAGAUUUUUUACAAUUUCGCGCUUCUUGAUGCUGAAAUGGCGGGUUUCUGGGCUAAGCUUCCAUUGAUUAGGAAGCUCUUGUUGUCACAUCCGGAGAUUGAGUUCUUAUGGUGGAUGGAUAGUGAUGCUAUGUUCACUGAUAUGGCUUUUGAGGUUCCAUGGGAAAGGUAUAAGGAUCAUAACUUUGUGAUGCACGGAUGGAAUGAAAUGGUCUAUGAUCAGAAGAAUUGGAUUGGGUUGAAUACUGGAAGUUUUCUUCUAAGGAAUUGCCAAUGGUCACUCGACAUUCUCGAUGCUUGGGCGCCGAUGGGGCCAAAAGGGAAGGUUAGAGAGGAAGCUGGGAAGAUCUUGACCAGAGAACUGAAGGACAGGCCCGUUUUCGAAGCUGAUGAUCAGUCAGCCAUGGUGUAUUUAUUGGCAACACAAAGGGAUCAAUGGGGGGAGAAAGUAUACCUUGAGAAUGCCUACUAUUUACACGGAUAUUGGGGCAUUUUGGUUGAUCGUUACGAGGAGAUGAUUGAGAAUCACCAUCCAGGUCUCGGUGAUCAUCGGUGGCCUCUCGUCACCCAUUUCGUCGGGUGUAAACCAUGCGGGAAAUUUGGAGAUUACCCAGUUGAAAGAUGCUUGAAACAAAUGGACAGAGCAUUCAACUUCGGGGAUAAUCAAAUUCUUCAAAUCUAUGGCUUUACACACAAGUCAUUGGGUAGCAGGAGAGUGAAGCGAGUUCGAAACGAUACGAGUAAUCCAUUGGAGGUGAAGGAUGAACUUGGGUUGCUUCAUCCAGCAUUCAAAGCUAUAAAGGUAUCAUCAACAACUUCUUGAUAGCCAUGGAAAUAAUGCUUGAAAUUACAAUGGUUGUUAUAAAUGCAAUAUAGAGUUGCCUUUUGGUGGGGUUGGGGAUGUGUUGUUUCUUCUUUGAAAAGGUGUAAUACAGUGUUCAAAAUUGUAUGGUUUAUCAGUUACCCAUAAUAUUGGAGAUUUGUAAACUUUUCUUUUGGGGGGCUAAAAAAAAAACAAAACUGUGUUAUUAAUGUCUAAAUUUCAUUGAUUUUUAGAAAAUUUUCUUUCUUAGGUCAACACUUUGUAAUGGAAAAUCUAAGAGAUUUAUGAAUGAUAGGGAGAGUUCUGGAACAAAUUUGUCUUAUCAAUAUAUUUCCUUGUCUUCUCAACCACCUUUUCUGGUAGCUUUCACUAUUGAUUGUGUUUUAUAUUAUUGCUUCAAAUUUCUGUUUUGGGAGUGGGAUUUCUUUUUUUCUUUUUUUUCUCUUGCCCAUCACUCACUUCAUUUAUAUUGUAAAAUUUUCAAUUUUAUUCAUGAGUUUUGUAGUUAUUACAUAUGAAAUUUACAAGAUUCAACUGGAAAGAAAUUCAAAAAUCACUUUAAUGAAAUGGCUAAAUCCAAGCACAUGAAUAUCCAAACAUAGCCACCAAAUCAAGUAGAGGGUAGACACUAAACUUGGUAAUUUUUUUUAUUUUAUAACAUCUAUUUGUGUAAUGAAUGUUCAUUACAUUAUCAAACAUCUUUAAUGAUGAAAACAAUAAUAAAAAGAAAUAGCUAUGUUUUGUUAGUUACUUUAAUGGUGGUAAUAAUUGCAAUUGCCUAUAAUGUCAAUGGUCAUUAAUAUUAUUAGACUCGUUGAAAAACUUGUAAGUUAGAAAACUGAAGCUGUGAAUGAUAAAAGAGAGAUUAACGUAUCAUUUCCAGCUUAGUGAUUAAAUUUCAUCGACAUUCCUUCCUGAAUUAAAGUUCAUAGGUUGUAUCAAUUAAAAGUUUGAAUUCUAAACUUUUAUUUCUAAAUUAGAUCAACUAUUAAAGUUAUAAGGGAUAGAACCAAAUAUUACAACUUUUCCCAUAUAGAUAAGUAAGUCUUACAUGGAGAUAUUUUUUUAAAAUUUAUAUGAAUACAAUUAUAAGUUUGAAUUUAUAUGAAAAUCAAAAUUUAUUUCACAAAAUAAUAAUGAUUCAAACGUUAGGCUAGUUAAUCCUAGUAAUGUAUUCGUAUUAUAUAAAAUUCAGUUGAAUUGUAAUUGAGCAAUAGAAUUAUUCUAACGUAAAUAAAAUAUUUCAUUUCGACAUUCUAAUAUUAAAUUCACCACAAAAAAGAUCGAGGAGUUAUUACAAAUAAAAUUAAAAACAAUAUAUCAUUUCGACGUCCUAUGGUCUGUCAAACUUCCCAGCUAUCUGAAUGUGAACAUUUGGUGUAUUCGAUGGCAAAUCACAAGAGCUAAAGCUAAAGCUAUGCUGUAUGAAUUGAGUCUGAGCCUACUAAAGAAAAUGCACCAUAAUUUAAUGUCAUCAAUACAAUUUAAUGGAAAAUAAUAUACACCAUUAUUUCAAAGAAAAAAAAAUGGAAACCAACCACCAUUGUAACUUCUCAUCUUUAGCAAGGGAGGGCAAAUACCGGGUGAAAAGAAUGGAACUUUUGUCAAAAAUCAAUAACCGUCAUCAAGAGUCUCAGCUGACUGCUGCCAUGGCUGGUUCUGGGUGGCCAGCAACGACAUUGAAACAGCGCUUGCAGAGAGUUGGAUGUUCUGGGAAAGACCCUACUCGUAGUGAAAAGUUCCAACAUCUUUCACACUUUGAACCUUCAGCACGAGACACACCAAUCCAGACUUUGUUGCCACCAAUGAGGCACUCUCCGGUAUAUGGUACGUUCUCUAUAUGCUCAGUCUCUAUGGACUGAUGAACCUCAACCUGCAUAAGCCAUUUCCAAGAAAAUGAGGACUAUCAAUUUGUAAGGUGAUUAUAAAAACUGGAUGGGCGAUACUAAAGGUACUCUUAAUCUUUCAGCAAAAUGACAAUGGGAUGGAUCAACCACAAAGUCAGAAGCUGGGACAACAUGAUGUGGAUUAUAAUACACGUUCUUCAACUCAAGGCAACGGAAUAAAAUACAACGAACCAUUGCACUUAGAGCCAGCACCAAAUUAGCUAAAGUUUAUGCCUUUGGUAAAAGAAAAGGGCUAUGAGGAUACCUGAGAUGUAAUAAAUAUUCUUUGCAAUGUGUCUGCAUCAUGGUUAGAUUCACACAUUUCACACAACUUAGAAGACAGACCAUCUCCUGGGGCAUGCAGAUGGACUUUAGCCUCUAAGCUUGAACCAAUCAACUUUCCAAUUCGAGCAGCCUCCAGGACUUUAUUCACCUCGGUUCUUAGCUGGUCAAAGUGCUAAAAUGGUUAGCAACCUCCCAAUCUGAGGUUCUAUAAAUUAGUUUAGUUCACAACUUCAUAUUCGUCGCCAUACAGUUGCAAUGAACCUUGUUUAUAAAUUUGUUAUCAGAACCUAUGUAAUUGUAAAGAAAUUAGAUACCUCGAGAAUAUUUGCCCAUAAAUCAAUUUCUUCUUCGGGAAGAGAAAGCCUAGUCUUGUUUAAACUUGGCCACCUUGAUUCAAAGACAAAUUUGGCAACAGAACCAUCAUCGUCUGUAUGCUGGAACGGAAGAUUCUGCCACACAUCCUCGGCCAAAUGAGGCAAUAUUGGAGCGAUUAUUCUUGCUAUGGAAACUACAUGCGCUGCUAGAACCGUCUGACAACUUCUCCUAGUAAAACUCGUGGAUCCCCUGAAAUUGUCGACAAAAUAUGAAAUUUUCUUAAAGAAAAAAACCCCUUGCAUGGGUACUAAAUAAGAUAAAAAGAGGUCCCUGUAAUCAACAUAUAGCGCACUAUGGAGCUACACUAAAAUUUGAUGGAAAACUAUGGUUGGGCAAACAAACGUGCCAUGACGCUCUUAACAUCAAUUGGUUUCCAUGUACAAGAUCAAUAAACAGUCAACUUACGAUGGCUUCACAAGGAAAGGAUCAACAUAUAAAAAGUUUUAAUCAUCAGCUGGACAGUUGGCUUUUAAGAUAAAAGAAAGCUUACCCAACAUACAAUCGAUCUUUAGCAACAUCGAAGUAGAAAUUUGAUAGAUCAACAAUUACAAACCGUUGAAUGAUCUGAAAAUGUGAAAAGCCCCAUGGUCAAAUUUCCGCAAAAUACACAAAUUACCCAGGAUUUGAUCUUAGCCCUAAAAAGCAAAAUAGAUUUCAGAAGACCACAAAACUUUUACACCAUUGGCAUUGAUAAUGAAGCAAUAAAUCAUAAUUAAACUUUUUUUAUUUACAAAUAUUUCGUUGAGUGACCUUCCCUACGUAUAAGUCCAAAGAAUAUUGUUGACCAUGCCAUUAAUGUCAUUGAUAAGCUGGAAGAGGCCUCAAAUACAUAUCAAGCCUUUAGGAACCGUAGGCUGAAUCUAAGCUUCCUUGGAUGACAGUUCUCCAGGAUCUUCUCAAGUAUUAUCGAGUGUAAGCCCAAACAUGGGAUAAGAAUUCAAAAUUUCCACGAAGUUACAGCAGAUAGAAGGAGGUACAGCUUUAUGAAUAAAUUGGUUUUUAAAGUUAAUAUAAUCUGGCAACACUGUCGGUUUAUUUCCAAAACAUGGGCAUUUGGGUUAUUCUCACAACCCUUGCCACCAAAUUAUCGCUGAUAAUAAUUAGAAGUCAAUGAAUAAAAUAAUAAGGCCAUCAGAAAAAGGAUCACCUGAAAGAUCUUAAAGAAUUGGUAGCUUUCGUAGCUUUCUCUGAUGUUGUUAAUGACAUUUUCAAGCUGAAACAAUGCAUGCUGAUCAAUUUUUGGAAGAUCCUGAUAUUGUACAGCAUUUUCCUCCUGUCAUCAGAAACGUGACUUUUAUUACAUAGAAAGAGCUGUUAGUCUAAAUGAUGGUUCCAGGAAAGGGAGAAAAAAACAACAAAGAAUGCACCAUAAGUCCUCUCUCUCCUACAAGGCAUAAGCUAAGGAAAACAUAAAUUAUUAGAAUGAACUUACUGUCCAAUCAUGCAGAUUUCCUAGAAGGAACCUUAAUGUUCCCCGUAGUUUUCUAUAUAUAUCUGACAUUUGACGGAGAACUUGAGAACCGAUCAUCACAUCGCCUGUGUAAUCCACACUGGAAACCCAAAGGCGCAGGACAUCUGCUCCAUAGCCAGGGGCUUCCUGCCAAAUACGGACAAUGACAAGGUAAUCAAAGAAUUUACUGUAGCCACUUUUAAUGAGGAAUAAUACAUGACAGUACAACAUUUUGAACCUUUUGAUUCUUUCCUCCUUCAAUCACACCCUUAGGGUCAACUACAUUACCCAAAGAUUUGCUCAUUUUCAGACCUUUCUCAUCCAAAACAAAUCCGUGAGUAACGACACUAGCAUACGGAGCCUUCCCUGUUCCAAAGAAUGUCCAAAAUUUUGUAUAUUGAAUUAGUUUCAAAAUAGAUUUGAUUCUCUUAUGCAUAAAUGUCGAAAGAAGUAAAUUUUCACUGUAUAACAAUAAUUGACCGGCCAACUUGUAAAGACUACAGAAUUGUAUAAAGAUUAGAGAAUAUUCUCCCAGUUGGUUGAUCAUAUUUAUAACUUCAAAUAUGUUGUAGUAUAUCAAAAAAGAUAAUUUGAUUUCAGGAAUUUAGACAAGAAUGAGAGGUAGAGGUACAUCAAAAUGUCUUGUCUGUUGCUUAUAAACAUCAUUUAGAUUGGAAUCACAUAAUCAUAAUUGGUCACAUUUCCCUCCAUGAGAACAAGUUAUAUCAAUGAAGGAAAGUGUACGUUUGCAACCUUAUUUCUUAAUUUUUCAGAGAAGAAAUUUCUAAUAACUUAUACAAGAGUAUAGAGCGGCAUAGCAUAACUUUUCCAAGGCAGAAAAAGAAAGGGCAUUCCAUAGUUUACACGAUACCUUUUGUGGCAAUGCAUGUCAACAAAGAACUUUGGAACCAGCCACGAUGCUGAUCUGUACCUUCAAGGUACAAAUCAGCAGGAAAACUAAACCCAUCUCGUGUCCCUAAUACUGCCGCCCAAGAUGAUCCUGAAAUAAGGAGUAAAAUUUUACAAUAUUAUCUAAUAACAAAUUAACCGCACAUGUAUGGCUUUUGAGUAGAAAGAUCUAACUAAUAAGAACUGGAGUAUUUUUUUCUUAAGUAGCUUAAAAAUAUGCCACUGACUAAAAUCUUCACAAGCGACACUACUGUUAACCUUAUAUGUUCUUAGAGGCUGUUUGGGUUCUAAAGAACUAUUUUAGCAUAAUUAAGUGAACCUAAGAAUCCAAAUCCAAGAAAGAAAAAACAUAUUAAGAUAAAAAUGAUAAUUGACAGUGACACUAGCACUACUACAAAACAUGUCAGAAACAUUUAAAUUUGAUAAUUUCAUCAAUGGAGCACUAUUAUACCUGAAUCAAACCAUACAUCCAUUGUAUCAGUCCCCUUUUCAUAGUCAGAUGCAAUUUCUCGAUAUUUAUCAGGAAGCAGAACGUCUACUGCCAUAUACCACCAAGCAUCACUACCCUUUUUGGCUAUUAUUGCUGCCAAACAAAUAAUCAGAAGUAUAAAACCUCAUGAAAAUAUGUAUUCGAGGAUGUACCAAUCCUCAAUUAUGUCUUGGUAGAUUAAAGUGCGAGAGUAGGAUCCAGAAACUGAGCUAGCAGUUUCGCAUAAAACAUCAAAAUUUAUGAUGGGCAAUGGCAUUACAGUAUUGGGCUGUUAGAAGUAAAAACAAAGUCUAAGAAGAAAAUUGAGUCAUAAUAAGUUCUUAUAGUUCUUACACUUGAUGUGGUUUAUGGUGUCAUCAUUCAUAAGAGGUUCUUUUGUUUCCACAUGAUAAAAAACUGGUAUUGGGACACCCCAUGUCCUUUGCCGAGAUAUGCACCAAUCAGAACGGCUUGAAGUCAUUGCAGAUAUUCUAUUUUCAGCCUGUACAGUAGUCCAUUCUCACAAGGCAUCAGUAAAACUAAAUUUAAACUGAAGCCACAUUCCUCUCUCUUUUUGUAACAAAAGUGGUGUAAAUAUUUUAAUCAAGCACCAAGAGUAUACGAUAAUGCAAUUCUAAUAUGAAUACCUGAGGAGGUAUCCACUUUACUUCGCCAAUAGCAUCCACAGCAGCCUGGCGAAAUCCCUCCACUGAUGCAAACCAUUGCUCAGUUGCCCUAAAAAUAGUUGGUUUCUUCGUUCGCCAAUCAUAUGGAUAUUUAUGUUCUGUAAGAAGAGAUGACAUGUUGAAACCAAGUAAUGAUGGGAAACCCUGAUAGGGAUUAGAAUCAUCAUAUUUUCUCCAUUUGGCAGGGGUGGCGGGGAGGGGAGGUGUGAAUGACUUACCAUACGAUUCUUCCAAAAUAAGUGAGAAGUGAUCGUCCAAAUAUUUGACAACAGCAGUAUUGCCAUCCCCAAGAACAUCAAGCCCGCUGAAUUGACCAGCUUCUUCAGUGAACUUCCCAUCAUCAUCUACAGGAGAUAUUAUGGGGAGUCCAUACUUCAAACCAGUCGCAUAAUCCUCCUGACCAUGGCCAGGUGCCGUAUGGACUAACCCAGUUCCUGUCUCAGUUGUAAUGUAAUCUCCUCCAAUAACAACUUGGCACUCCUUCUUAUCAAUUGGGUGGAUGUAGCUGAAGAAAACAAUUGGUUUAAUGCUUAGUUCACGGAUUCACAUCAAGUGACUUAGGUAAAUUACUAAGAGAUAGGCUUUGUAAAACAAUAUACUAAAAUUUACCACAUUUCUAGAUUUCUUCUAACCGAAUAUGAAACCUACAAGUUUUUUUAGGAAGAAAAAUCACUUGACAAGGAAGCUCUCAUUUUCACUGUUCCUUCUCAUUGUUUAGGGAAAGAAAUAAAACCUGCAGUUUUCAAGUUCUGAACCCAACAAUUUCUUCUUGACAACAAGCUUCACACCCCAUUUUGCUUCCAAAGUUGGCACAAGAUCUGAUGCUACUACAAGGAAAGGCCUCUUUCCCUCCUUCAGAAUAUUACCAGGCCUUUUCUUUUUAUUUCCAGUUAAAACAGAGACAUCUUCAGAAGGUGCCAGCAAUUCAAUUAUGGCAUAGUGAAGCUUGGCAUUGACAGCAACAGCUAAUCACAAAACAGUGAGAAAAAGUUAAAAUGCAUAUCAGCGUAAAGAUAGAUUGCUCAAGUUCUAAAAGAGAGUAACUUUUUGCUAAAAAAAUGGUCGUCGAAAACCAUGUAAGAGUCCAAAUGAAGUAGGGUCAUGUUAUUCUAAGGGAAUCAGGCAAGUUGAGCACAACCAAGCCUGAUGCUUAUAAGCGAUUUUAAAAAAAAAUCAAAAACAUGUAAGAUUCGAAUGUAUGGCUUGGAACCUUGGAGGCUUAUAAACAAGAAAACAUAAUUUUUUUGCUUGCGAUUAGGGCACCAAGAAAAACAUUUAAGAUUUUAUUUCUUGCUCAAAUGGAUCAGACAUCUUUAUUGUUCACUUCUUAUUUAGUAGUUGGUAGACCAACUGUUCCUCUUUCUAUUUCAGUAAACCUUUCUCCAUUUUCUAAAGGGAUUGUAUUUAUCAUCAGAAAAGAGUAAAAAAAAAAAAUAUUAUUACUUGGAAACAUACGGAAAUAAAUCUACAACCAUAUUGCUCCCAUUGUAAUAGAACAAAAGCUCACCAGCAUUGGCUGGAAUAGUCCAAGGAGUUGUAGUCCAUAUGGCCAAGCACAAGUCUGGGAGAAAUUCUUGUAGCACACCGCCUGAAGAUGGACCUUCCUUAACCAAUCUAAAAAUGGCGUAUAUGCUUCUUGAAGUAUGCCCCUCAGGGUACUGAAUGCAAUUAUCAAACAGGUAGGGCAGGAAAAAAAAUGAAAUAACCAAAUUUGAGCAAAUGACAGGAAUCAGCAUGAAAAAUAGAUUAGAAUACAAAGUUUUUCAUGGAAAAUGAUUAUCCGUGUGAUUUAAUGUUUUAAAAGUCAUAGGUUUCAUAGAAAAAUCAUGCUAGAUUUUUUUAUUCUUUAAAAAAACCCUAAAUGACUUGCUCUAUGCACCCAAGAAUAGACUAGGUGGGGGGUCACGAAACACUAAAAAUAUCUGUAAUAAGUUUAACUAAUUUGUUCGUGUUUUCAUGCUUCAACAAAUGAUUUACCUCCAAUUCAGCCUCUGCAAGAGCAGUUCGUGAUGAAGGACUCCAGUGAACUGGCUUUCUCCCUCUAAAUAUAUACCCUUGAAUGGCCAUUUGACCAAACACCUCAAUCUAACAUACAAAAAAUACAAACACAAAACUGUUGAAUUGAAAUUUGCAACAAACUGCUUAAGGGAAGCACAUAGAAAGUAGAACAUGAGAAUGCAAGCAAUAGUUACCUGGGCAGCUUCAUACUCUGGACUGAGAGUUAAAUAUGGAUUGUUCCAAUCUGCCCAUACUCCAUAGCGCUGCAAAAAUUGAACAGCAUAAUUGGUGAAAUUUAAAACAAGAAUCGUGACAUUUUCUAUGAAGAGUAACUCCAACGGCAUAUUAAACCCAGUACAUAGAAAACAUCGGAGAAGAACUUGCUUGUACAGAUAUAAUUUUGACAUGAAUUGAAAUCAUCAUAUACAGAUUAAUCACUUAAACGUGACAGAAGAAAUCAUUAGCAUUGAAAUAAUAAAAUUGAGGUGAUGAGGAAAUUUGCCUUAAAUGAUGCCAUCUGAGCUUUCACCGUAGCUUUAGCAAACUUAGCAGCCUUAUCUCUCAGCUUAAUUGGGGUAAGAUCUUUCCUGGCUUCUUUAUCCAAUGACUGCAGAACUGAAUAACUCAAGAUUACAGUUAAGUUUCUUUACCAUGUUCCUAAAGACCUGAGACGUUGCUCCCUCAGCAAAAAGUUAUCAUGGAGGCUAACUAAUGCAAAAGAUACUUGCCUUUUAACUCAAUUGGUAGGCCAUGGCAGUCCCACCCAGGCACAAAACGAACUUUGUAGUUUUGAAGAAGCUAUUAAGAGAAGAAAAUAAAAGGAAAAGUAAAUAUUGGUUAGAAAUUUUUUAAAUGGAAAGCGAGUUUGUCUUCCAAAAACUAAGUAGCUGUUACAGGGGUAAGUAACCACGAGUUAAAAUUAAAUGCAAAAGUUCUGGCUGGAAACAAACUUCAAGUCGACAAUACCCACACCUAAAUUUCAGUUAGAGGUGUUGAAGAUAUUUACCAGGAACACAGACAGAAUAUGAACAUAUUCCCGCCUUUUUUUUUUUCUGGCAUGUUGUCAGAUUUAACAAAGUAUGGCUAAGGAUAAUAAUCAAACCUUGUAACGGUUAAUUAUAUCCUUCAAAAUCUUAUUCAAAGCAUGGCCCAUGUGGAGAUCUCCAUUGGCAUAUGGGGGACCAUCGUGAAGAAUGAAGUUUUCCUGAGACCAGAUAACGGUAAAUAAGUUCUUAUGAAUGGAACAGAGAGAAGGAAAGAUAUCCCGAGUAGACUACAAAACAUACUCCAGUAUUUCUCUCGACAACUCGAUUGAAUACUUGAUGGUCAUCCCAUAUCUUCUGAAUUUCAGGCUCCCUAACCAAGGAAUUAGCCCUCAUCCCAAAUGCAGUCUUUGGCAGAUCAACGGUAUGUUUGUAUUUUCCAUCACCUUCAUUUGUCUCUAAACAAACUCAAGCAAUCCAAGCAAUCAGAAACUUUAUUUUUUAAAAAAAUAACACAAAAACUCAUUCAUAAAAUCGUGUAAUUUAUUAAAAACACAAGCUUAGGUUUGAAGGGAAAUGUACUACAUAAUUGCCAAGUCUAUGCACCUUUAGAUGCUUUCUUUGCUGCCAUGAUGGGCCCUCUAGACCUCCUCUUUGAGGAAGGUGGGAAUUCAUCAUUUAAAUAGGUAGAGUAACGUGUGACGGUCAAGAAAGUAAAUACUUUCGCGGACGAGCUUCCUCUAAAACGAAAUGAAGAAAUAUAACUUCUCCUAAGUGUUGAAGAAAUUCUUUGUGAUAAUACCUGGAAAUAUGAAACAUGAGUACAUUGACAUAAAGCACCAGCAAUUCACAUUCAGGAAUAAAAGACAGAUGAGUUGAUCCACGAGGGUAAACACCAUUUCCAUAACUGAACAGCUAGAAGUACCUCGUCAAAGAAAUUUUUAUUUUUUUCUUUUAUUUCCGACCAAAAAGAAAAACUUCAUCAGCAUAUCAAAAUUGAAUGUUCUUCAAUACCGAGACACCGAAAAAGUGUACAGAAUCAAAUGUCAUUCCAUAUCAAAAUUGAAUCGUAAUCAACAAUGAAACGUGAUAUUAUAAUAAACCAAUAAAAAGGACCAAUGUUUCAAAUACAAAAACACGCAUUCCGAACAAUUUCCAAUGCAAACGCACUGAACAAACAUAAGCAAUUUAACCACUACACUGUCUGCGAACUCAACAAGAGGGAUAUGAAGUACUGAAAUGACUCCAUUAGAAAUCCUUUCACUAAAAAAAAACUAGAAAACAACAAACAUGGAUAGAAAUAAAGAAGGAAUCAUUCUUGAAAAGUAGAGUGCUUGGUAAUUCAAGGAGAGAGAUAGAGAGGGGAAGAGAGAAACUGUACUGUAUAAGAAGGGGUUUGAAUGAAAGGUUUGGUGGCUUCUUUGCACUUGAAUGCGGAAGAGCCAGCGGCAAAGGAAGCAUAGAGCGGCAUAUUGGCUUCCAUUCAUUUGCAGAGCAUCUUCAUCCUCGGAGGGAGGCGAUAGGAAGUAUGAGAGAGGAAACUGUUGGGUUUUUGUAAAAAUGACGCGUUCUUAUUCUUUUGAAAACUAAUCUUCAACUCUUUUGAGA